rnacentral:lncRNA from 1 species
UUUUUGAAUUUUAAAAAAAACUUAAUUAUAGUAUUUUUUAUAAAAGUAAAUUAUUUAUAUCUAAAUAAUUAUAAAAUUAAAAUUAAUAUUUAAUACAUACAAUCUAAAAUAUUUAAAAAUUAAGCAUAAAUAAUUAUAUAUUAUAAAGUUUUAUUAUAAUUAAAACACAAACUUAUGAAUUUACAAUUUGACCCCGACCGGACUGAUUUUAUCCAAUUCAAUUAAUUUUUUUAUUAUAAAAAUUUAAAAUAUAUAAUUAUAUAUGUUAAAGUUUUCGCGUUAUUUUUCCUUUAAGCAGUUUAGACUUUAUAAAGUAAAAAAAAAUACCCCGUGCAUUGCCCGGGGCUUCCUUAACUAGUCUCUAUAAGUUUGCGAGUACAUGUAUUUGGUGAAGGCUCAACUAAACAAGCAUUAAUGAUGAUAUUACAUCAUCAUUAUCUUAAGAGUGAUAGCGACUCAAUAACCUACGCUCGUUGUAGUGCUCCAACUUCGAUCUUCUACGUCUUAUCAUUGUGCUUUUCAUGUUUGAUGGUUUCUUAAGCAACCAUUAAAGGAUGGGUCAGGCGAGAACAUCAUUUAAUACAAUUUAUAUCACUUGAGAGCGAAACCGCAUCAUUUGAAUGCCAUCGUAUGAUUAUUCCAAAGCCAUAAGUUUAACAAGACCAUAUUAUAAGAAUAAAAGCAAAUUAAUCAAAUAUAGUAAUUGGGCCACAGAUAUAUAACGCCAUAUGAGAGAUAAAUGGGCCGGGCCCUGUUAGGUCGAUCUCGGCCCAACAUGUGAACAAGCAAAUUGUUUGUUAGGUUAAAAAAAUGACCAAAAAAUUAAUAAACGCCGGUGUAUGGACCCGGUGCAUGGAAUUAUUUCUUUUGUCAUUAGCUCACGUGCAAAACCAACAAGUCAACACGUGUCUAUGCAUCACAUUGCUAUAUAUAUAUAUAUAUAUAUAUAUAUAUAUAUAUNGUAUGUUAUAGAUAUUAUAUAUAUAUAAUAUAAUAACCACUGCUGUUUCUGCAAUCCAAAAUAAAAUAUUUUAUUCAAAAAAUAUUUAUUUUUCUAGAAUUUUUCUUUUUUAAAAAAUACUAUUAAAAAAUACAAUAUAAUUUUUAACAAUUUUUGUUUGCUGUAAACAUUGCAUUACUCCCGCUUUAUACCCGUCGCCCCUUUUGGCACCCACACGCGUCACUCGCCCCGCGCACGUGCCAGUCUCUUUGUUUCCGUGCUAUAAACCGCCGCUUAUUCAGCUCGCUUGGCACCCGCACGUGUCACUGGCCCAUGCACGUCUCAGGCUCCUUUGUUUGCUGUGCUACAUAUAAAGCUCCAAAUGUCCCUCACAUUCGUAGUAAUUAAACCACAGGUGCAUGCUUUUUCAUCAAGAAAAAAGUGCUUAAGCUUAAGCUUUUUUGAGGUUGAGAUAAGAAACGAGGGCUCAACAUGUUAAGGAGAAAAGGAGCAGUUCUCAUGAACUGGUUCAAGGAUGGUGUGCUGAACAAAGCAAGUGGUUUGCUAAGGGAGAAGGAGCAGAUGGAUAAGAACUUCCCUGUGUUGAAGGGCCACCCGAAGGCGCGAAAGCACGCCAAGGAGGCCGUCGAGAGCUACGCGAAGCUCGGUGCGAGAGCGGCGGAGGAGAAGGUGAUGAAGGGAGCGGAGGAGACUAAGGCGUCGAAGGAGUUCAAGAUCUAUAGGUGGAACCCUGAGAAGCCACAUAACAAGCCAUUUCUCCAAUCUUACUAUGUUGACUUAACCACUUGUGGCCCCAUGGUACUCACAAAAAAAAAAAAAAAAAAAAAAACUUUUCCCUAUUUUUAUUUGAAAAUGAGAUUGGGAUCGAGCUGAAAAAUCAUGUGCGAGAAUUAUUUAAUUUCUAAUUAAAUUGAAGAUAAAUUAAGGAUUUGGUGUGAUUUUGACUCAAACUUUACUGUAGUGAUGUCAUGUUUAGUAAUACGAACCAUUCAUUUUAUCAUUAAAAGUUUAAACUUAAAUAAUUAGAGAAUAAUGUUUUUAAUAUUACUGUCAAACUCAUGAUAUCCUGCUAUAUUGAUACUAUGCAAAGCUAUUAAUUUUUUCCUUUACAAAACUUUUAAGUUGGUAGUGAUUAAUAUUUUAAUAUUUUCUACAUAACAAAGUGCAACUAUAUAUUUAGUUUCUAAAAUUUAAUCCCAAAUUCACUGCAUAGAAUUUAUUCUCAACAAGUAAAUUCAUCGAGUCUGAUUAUUGUUCUAUAUAUCAAAAUCGACUCUGACAAUACCAUUUUCUUUUUAAUUGCUGAAAAGUAAUGGUCGUUCCUGAAACAAGGGGAUUGCAUAGAAUUUAUUCAUAACAGCAAGUCUGAUUAUUGUUCUAUAUAUCCCAAAAGCUUACGAUAAGGUUAGAUGGUCGUUCCUGAAAAGUAUACUACGUUGGCUGGGUUUCAGCGAUAAAUGGUGGUCCUGGAUAGAACAAUGUAUCUGUAAUGCUAAACUUGCCAUCCUUUUAAACGACGCGCCGACAACGUGGCUGAAAACUAGAAAGGGAUUGAGACAAGGGGACCUGCUCUCCCCAUAUGUAUUCAUCUUGGUGGCUGAUUGUCUGACCAGAAUUACAGAAACAGCCAGGGGUAACAGUUUGCUCGAAGGGAUAGGGCCAACUGUCGACUGUCAGACUGUGAUCUUGCAAUACGCGGAUGACACAUUAUUCUUUUCGGAGCCAAAGAAGUCGAAUAUGCGAAACUUGCUGUUCAUCUGGAAGUUAUUCGAAUGGGCCUCGGGUCUCAAGAUAAAUACAAACAAAACGGAACUCCAUUAUGUCGGCCACGACUCGAGUAAAGAAACUAGACUUGCGGAGAUUCUGGGGUGCAAAGUAGGCAACCUACCGUUCCGCUAUCUGGGGUUGCCGCUUCACAUCAAGUCUCUUCGACGGGUAGACUGGGCCCCUCUAAUAACUCGUAUAGAGGAGCGUAUAGAAGGUUGGAAAGCAAAGUUACUAUCUUAUGGGGGAAGAAUCACCCUGGUAAACUCGGUGCUCACGAACAUACCCCUAUUCUACUUAGCUAUCUUCAAAGCGCCACAAUGGGUACUAAAACGAAUCGAAGCCCUUAGGAGAUCCUUCUUUUGGAAAGGGUGCGCCAAAAUCUCUGGAGGUGCAUGCCUAAUUGCCUGGAAGUCGAUAUGCAAAAGCAAAAUUGAAGGGGGGUUGGGGAUUAAAGACAUGGAAGCAAUGAAUACGGCGCUGCUAACCAAAUGGUGGUGGCGUUUUUUUUAAUGAGCCGCAGCUACUUUGGGGGAAACUAAUCAUGGCGUUAUAUUACACGAGAAGAAGGCCAUUGAGUGAAGGAAGAUCCUUCAGGCCUUACUCUCAGUGGUGGAGAAGUGUGAUGAGUUGUCGAGAGGUCUUCAAAUGUGGUACUUCAUUUAAACUCGGAGACGGGCAAAAUAUCAAGUUGUGGUCAGAUAUUUGGAUCGGCGAAAUCCCUCUGAGGACCCUAUUUUCCGGAAUUUACUCCAGAUUAGUGAACAACAUGGCCACGGUUGCACAAUGCUGGAAUGAAAGAGGUUGGAGAUGGCGAUUUAUAACUAGAGGCCUAGCAACAUAUACUGACAUCGAUACUCGACAACAAGUCAGGGCGCUCAAAAACCUUCUUUCGACAUACGGCCCAACUGACACACCGGAUAUGCUAAGGUGGAGAUGGACAUCCAACCAAAUAUUUUCAGUUAAGUCCCUGUAUGGCUUCAUCACUGACGCAGGUCUGAGAGACCCGACUGGGGACCACCUGUGGAACUUAAAAAUCCCGACCAAAAUCAAAAUUUUCGUCUGGAUCUUAAUCCGUAAGCGGCUACUGACUGCGGAUAGAUUGAUUCGUCGUGGGUGUCAGGUGGAUCCGCUUUGUAUGUUUUGCGCAGUGCUUCCGGAAAGUUGUGAUCACCUGUUCAGGGAGUGCGUUCUGGUCAAAUAUCUCUUUAUCAGCGCGUGGGGCCCGCCUUACACUGAACCAGUUAUUGGGGAUGUCAGAAGCGUGUGGUUACAGACGGCUAACUCCCCCAAUGCCGAGGUGAGAAGACGGAGUCUCACACGGUUGGUGGCAAUCUGGUGGGUAGUUUGGACGGAGAGAAACAAAUACGUCUUCCACGAGACGAGUCCAGACGCUAUCCGGGCCCUACAGCGAGUUGAAGCGUUGAUCAAAGCCUGGACAAACGUUUCCUAACCGGUGAAUGUUCUUCCUGCAUCGCGUUGAACGUGUACUUCUUGGGUACCUACCUACCUAACUACUAUCCCAGUUUUACUACGUUGUUUUGGUAAGUACACUGGGGUUAUUUUUGUUUUUCUUUGGCUUUUUUUGCUCCGUCUUUUGUUUUGGUUUUCCUUUAGGAGGCCCUGGCUGCCUUCACUUUGUAAGCCAAGUUCAUUUUGCCUAAUAAAUGAAGCAGGUAGCUUGCUACCUUUCUCUCAAAAAAAAAAUUGCUAGCUAGGCUAAUGAAAGGACGUAAUUAUUAGGACACAUUUUUAUAUAAAUUGCUAAAUUUGAAAAAGAAAAAAAAAAGUUUGAAAUUAUAUAAAAAAAAAUAACGUAAUUGUAAAUGUGAACUAUAUGCAGGUCCUGGAUGUGCUUCAGAAGAUCAAAGCAGAGCAGGACUCAACGCUGAGCUACAGGAGAUCAUGCAGAGAAGGGAUCUGCGGCUCGUGCUCGAUGAACAUCGACGGCGUCAACACGGUCGCAUGUCUCAAACCCGUCGACACCGCCGCUUCGAGGGCUACCAUGAUCACCCUUCUCCCUCACAUGUUCGUCGUCAAAGACCUCGUCGUCGAUCUCACCAACUUCUACCAGCAAUACAAGUAAGAGUCCCACAUUGCAAGAAGAAAUGCAUGAACCUUAAUACUAAACUACGUUAGCUAUGUGAGCUAUUAUCUGAUCUUAUGACAUGUUUGAUUUAGUAUGUCUCCGCCGCAAAAUGUAAACUAUAUAUAAUUGGAUUGAAUGUUGUGUUGAUGGUCGAUUGAGCCAUGGCUAAAGGCGAGGAAGCCGCCUCCGAACGGGCGAGAGUACAUUCAGCUACCGAGCGAGAGGAAGAAGCUCGACGGGCUGUACGAAUGCAUUCUAUGCGCGUGCUGCAGCACCGCCUGUCCGGCCUACUGGUGGAACUCCGAGGAGUUCCCGGGCCCGGCCGCGCUGCUCCAAGCCUACCGGUGGGUGUCUGAUAGGUAAGUUUAAGUGUCUAUUUGGUCCUACUUUUCUGAUACAGUAAUGUAAGAUCAGAAAUCAGGGUAUAUGUCUCGUGAAAUGUGUGUUUUGUUUUUCGCGAAGCCGUGACGAUUUUACGGAGGAGAGGAUACAGGCGAUGACGGAGGAUGAGAAGCGGCUGUACAGGUGCAGGACUAUAAGGAGUUGCACGGCGACUUGCCCGAAAAGUUUGGACCCGGCUAGGGCUAUUUCUGCAAUGAGGACUGCUCACCAGCUUCACUAGGCUCAAACUCGGUAUGAGGGGUUGCAGAGGAAUUUGAGUUUUUGGAUGACAUGAUUGUAAGAUUUUAUGUAACUGAAAAAGAGUUGGCAGGCUAGGAGAGCAGUAUGUUGUGUAAUUUUUGUCUUUCUAAAAAAAUUUCAAUUGAUAAAAUGAAUGAUGUGUGGAUUAGUGUCUUUUUUUUUUUUUUUUUUUAGAGAGAAAGGCUAUCUUUUUCGUUUAUUCAGUACAACAAAAACGGUAUAUAGCGACACUUUUAAAUGUAGGUACAUGUCAAAAAAAGUGCUGCUAGCUAAAAUUACCGACACUUUUAAAAAAUAUUGCUAUAUGUGGGGUCGUUAGGUAUAUAGUGACAGUUAAAGAGUGUCGCUAUAACCUAAAAGAGUGUUGCUAAUUUACCAACACUUAUUUAAGCAUUUAGCAACCGCCGAAAUUCUAUCUCGUUGGCUACAGUGGAGGAGGAGGACGGCAGGAAAGGCUCUUCGUCUAGAAUUUCAGUGGAUUGAGUGAAGAGAGAAGAAAAGAUGGUAAUUAAUUUUUCUUUUUUUUUCUUUUCUGUUUAUAAUCGGGCCAAAUGGACUGGGUGUGGUGGGUUGAGUAGAGUAAUCUUUUAUUUUUGAUUGGAUUGGGCUUUAUAUUUAGACAUUGGUAGAUGUUUUUUUAAGUUUUAGUAUAAAUGGAACACUUACUCAAAAGUGUCCCAAACAUGUGUCCCUAUAAUCUAAUUCUGUUGUAGUGAUUUUUUUAUAAAAUAAAUUUAGUUAAAAAUACAGAAUAAUUAAAAUUUGAAUUUACAAUCUCGAAUAUUAAUUAUUAAGUUCUGUUGUCAUUCUUGCUAGGACAUAAUCAAUAAAGUCCAAAAUGAAUCCAACGAAGUUGGGAAAGAAUCUUGGAAACAUUUUUUUGGAUUAGAGUGAUAGGAAAGAAACUAGGAAACAUUUUUUUGGAUUAGAGUGAUAAGCCAGGGUGCGCCCAACCCUAACUCAAGGGGGGCCAAUUGACUGGGUCAGGUCUCAGACCUAACUCGCUGAUCGCCCCGUCCGGACGUGACCAACCCGUGACACCUCGGCCCACCAUCUCGCGCCAAAGUCAAUGUGCAAUAAAACCAACCAUGCGUGAGGGUAAUUCGAUUUUUAGCUUGUGCAUUUAUUUAUAUUAUUAUUAUACGGCUAGGUUCGUACAAUAGCGGAUGCAACUCAAAUGAUUAGGAUAAUUAAGUGUAGUUGGUUGAUUCAAAAUUAAAUAAAUUUAAAAUUUAGACAGUUCAUAAUUCAAAUUAGUUCUCUACAUAUUUCCAUAUCUUUACCCUUUGGUAAAUUAUUAUCUUUGUUAUAAUUAUUAUAAAUAUUUUAGUACAUAAAUUAUUCACAUUUUAUGCUAUUAAAAUUUUGAUUCUUACAUGAAUGAACAGAGAUAUAAUUUGAAAAGCAAAGCGAAAUAAACAAUAUAGAGCAAUUCAGAUCUGAAUCAAUUCUACGCAAGGUAUAUGUGGUGUCGGGACGUAGCUUGCGCACCGGUCCCUUAAUCUGUAGGCUACCCUGUUAACGUUUAAGCAAAUGGCGAUUGCGAAGUGUCGCCUAACAGUAAUUUGUCCAAACAUCAAAAUACAACAAAAGUUUGGGUCUUACAAUAUAAUCCAGGGUCCAAUAUCUUAAUGUUCCCCUAACAAUGUUCAUUACAUCUUGCCAAUUGCUAUACCAACAUCAUAUCACUGGAGUUGUUGGAUUGAAAAUAGACUCAAAAGAUAAAAAUGGAAGAUACUGAAUUUUUUUGCACUAGUUUAUAAAUGGUUUAUUCUAUAUUUCUAACUAAUGAUUUAUUCUUUUCUCUCUCUCUCUCUCUCUCUCUCUCUCUCUAUAUAUAUAUAUAUAUAUAUAUGCGUUUAAUUUAGAUUGUGGCAAAGGGCUUGAUGGUUAGUAUUGAGGUCCCAAGUUCGAAUCCUAGUUGAUUCACAUUUCUCGCUAAAUUUAUUUCUAAAUAAAAUAAACGAAGCGGUAGCGUGCUACUUAUCUCUCAAAAAAAAAAAAAAUUUAGAUUGUGACGGAUCAUUUGAAAAAGUCUAAGCAAUAAUUCCUCUAAGCGAACAAGUUGGUGACGAGUUCCAGCUCGGCUCGCGUACGUGACAAGCACCAACAUCCUACGUGACGAGGUGCACAUGGCCACCCCUUUCCUUAGCUGUUGCAAAAUUUCAAAGUACAAAAAUUCACUCUUUCAAUGAAUGAAGCAGGUAGCGUGUUACCUAUUCUCAAAAAAAAAAAAAAAAAAAAAAAAAACAAUUUUUCUUUCUUUAAAUUUAAAAAUUUAAAUUUAAAUUCGAAGUAGAAUACUUUCUCUUCCAACUUGAUUAUCAAGUAAUAUUCUCCUUGUAAAUCAAAAAAGCAAAUCCCCCGAGCGUCAUUUCUUAGCUGAUUUUAUUUUUAAAAAUAAUAUUUUACAAAAAAUUAAAAGAAUGCCUUCCUUUUUUUUGUUAAAAGAAAAAAAAAAAAAAGCCACCGAUUCCUCGCUUCGUAAGGUAGCCCGUAGCCCUCCCUUUUCACGACUUUAUUUUUAAAAAAAAAUAGUUUUUUUCUUUUUCUCUUUUUAUGCUUGUUGUAUUAUGUUUCUUGUUCUUCCAAUCCAAGCAAUCCCUAGUACUCUUUUUUGACUUUUUGUUUUUUUUUUUUUUUGUCACCCCAACCAAAUAUAUAUAAAUUANUAGAUAAAUAUUUAAUCCUGAUUAGCUAAUGAGGUGAAUUGAUAUUUAUACAUUUUUUUAAUUAACAUUGAGAUUUUUAGAGAGAUAUAUUUGUGAUGAUAAAAUGGUCAUUUCACUUAUAAAAUAGACCGUAUUUUAAUAAUAACAAAUCAAAAAAACGUAUUUAAAAAUAUUAGAACUUUUGUAAAGACAACUUAUAAAUAUUGAACAUUGAAGGAAGAUAUUUACAAAUUAUUAUAUUUAUAGGUACUUGUAUAAAAUUAAUCCUAAAUUAAAUUUAAUACUAAGUACCUCUCUCAUGCAUUAAAAUCACGAUGCCAAAUGCCAACCCCAUCAUAGGAGAGGGAAUUUGUGAACGCCCACUAAGCCCCCCACCCCAACCGUAUUUUAAAUUCCUCUUCUGAGCCUCCUUCCUUCUCCUCCAUGCAACCGCGCCAAGAAGCCUUAUUUCCCACCACACCGUAAUCGUCGUCGUCGGAGGAGGAGGAGAGAUCGAUGGAUGAGGAGGUCGUGAGGCCGUCGGGGUGCGCCAUGCUGGCGCUCUACGGCGGCGUGUUCCGGCGGUGGCACCGCCGCUCGGCGUCGACCAGCUCCAUCCCCCGGUUCGAUCCCGAUUCUCCGGCAGCAGCAGCAGUGCCGCCACUGAAGCCGCCGCAGCAGACGUCACAGCUGCCCGUGGCGGUGGCCUCGGCGGCAAUGAAGACGAAGCGUGCGGCCGCUGACGAUACAUCCCUCGUGCCAGUGGAUAGGUAGUUAUAUAACAACCGUUUUUCUCUAAAAAUUAUGUAAGCUAUUUAUGUAUCGAUAUUUUUAUACGUUAGCUGUAGUAUUAUUUUUCAUGCGCGCGACUUUAAGUUAAACAAGGAAAAUACCAUUAUUACCUUAGGAGCUAGAAAACGAAACUCUCAAAAUAUUGUGGUCGUAGAUAAUCUAUGGUUUAAUGAGAAACAAAAGUUUAUUAACACAUAAGAAUCGUUUGUAGGGCGCCCAAAGCAUUUUCUUUUAGACUCGUAAUGGUAUAACAGUCUCUUACUACCCCACCUGUUGUUUAUUAAUAAUUUUUAUUAUAUAUACUAACUGUCCUUAGAGAAGCGGGUAGCAUGUUACCUAUCUCUCGAAAAAAAAAAAAAAAAUAUUAUAUAUAUAUAUUUUUUACUAAUACUUUGUUUGGAGAUGAAAAAUCAUAUGUCAGUACGAGUGCACUCCAUUAAGUAUUUAAUGGUUAGUAUUUAAAAUUUUUAAUUCAAGACUAAUUGAUUAUUUCUUAUUGUUGGCCGAAAUAUAUUUAAAAGUAUUAAAAUUUUUAAAAAAUAAUAUAUAAAAUUUAAAUUUUAUAAAAAAAUUAUAAUUUAUUAUAUUUGUAGGGAGCAAUGUGCAAUUACCCUUUAUAUUUAAUGCCGAUAUAGGUCACUGGUGACGGCGAAACCCCCGGCUCCGAAGACCGCGGCGCGGAGACCGGCGGAGCCCAAGGCGGCGGCGGCGGCUGCGGCGGCGUACAGCGGUAUCGCCGCCGAUCUCGACCGCAUGAUCCACGACCGCCAGCAGGUGAAGGGGAGCGGGAACCUCCUCCGCGCUUCCUCGGGGAACGUCAUGCUCUUCGGCAACCUCGGCAACCUCCGCCCGGGUCCCCUGCUCGCGGCGCCCUCGCCCGCACGCAACGCGCUCGACGAAACGCCCAAGCCAACGAAGGAGCCCAAGUUCGCGGCGCCGCGCGGGGCGCGGGGCAACAUAGCGAAGGGCGCGGCGGCGAAGGAGGCGGCGGAGGAGGAGGCGGCGGCGAGGCCGGAGCUCUGCCGCGCGCUGUCGAGGAGGCUGGACCCCGAGGAGCUGAAGGAGGUGGGGAACGAGGAGUACAAGCAGGGGCGCUUCGCCGAGGCGCUGGCGCUUUACGACCGGGCGAUCGUGAUGGACCCCCUGAAGGCCGCGUACUGGAGCAACAAGGCCGCCGCGCUCACCGCCCUCGGACGCCUUCUCGAGGCGGUCGCCGAGUGCAGAGAAGCUCUUCGGAUCGAUCCCUGUUAUCACAGAGCACAUUCUCGACUCGCAACUCUUUACCUCAGGUAAUUUCUUUUUCUUUUUUCUUUUUCCUUUUUUUAAAAAAUAUAUAUAUAUAAGAUCAUCCUUCUUUUCUUCUUUCUGAAACUGGGUUAAGAUCAUUUUUGUGCCAUUUCUCAGAUUGGGAGAACCUGAUAAAGCCAUUUACCACUAUAAACAAGCGUCGAAAGAAGCUACCGCCGCCGACAUUUCACGAGCGCAAUCUCUGAAGACGCGCAUCGUUAAGUGCAGUGAAGCCCGGAAGCUGAAGGAUUGGCUCACUGUAUUGAAGAUAUCACAAUCUGCUAUUUCUGACGGUGCCAAUUCUGCUCCACAGGUAUUGCAUCAGAAAACUGAGCAGCUUGCUUGCAUUAUCAAUUAUCGUUACGGAAAGUUGGGGGGGUUGCUUAAAAUCAAUUCUGAACUGAAAGAUAUCCACUUAACAACAUUUGCUUAGCAUCUAACUUUUGAGUAGCAUACAAUGUUCCCUGUGCUUUAUGGAAAGCUACGCACGGCAUGCAUUCGACUUGAAUGUGGGCCUCAGCUUUAGCAAAUUAGCAUAGAAGAGAAUGCCAAGAUCAAUCAUCAGGACCCAGCUUAUUUUUUGAUUUUGUUGUGCUUUGAAAGGUACUCGCAUUGCAAGCGGAGGCUCUCCUAAAGCUUAAAAGGCACGACGAGGCCGACUCGGUGUUUAGCGGUGCACCCAAGUUCGAUGCGGAUGCAUCAACUAAGUUCUUUGGUCCUAUUGACUAUGCGUAUGUCCUUAUGAUUCGAGCGCAGGUGGACAUGGCAGCCGGAAGGUUUGUUUCCUAGGCUUAUACAGAGAAGCUUGAUAUAAUAAUUGUUUCCGACAGAAUAAAUGCCAAUUUAGGUGUCCAAUUUGAAUCUUCUGUUUUUGUUGCGGCAAAAAAACCAUUGAAAAAAUACCUGAUUCAGUUUAUAGCUUGUUAAUCACCACCGACUAACAAAUGGCCUUUGGAUUGAAGGUUUGAGGAGGCAAUCACAGCGGCUCAAACUGCUUCUCAGCUCGAUCCAUACAGCAGAGAAAUAAGCUCGCUAGCCCGAAGGACACGAACUGUGGCAUCGGCACGCUCCAAAGGCAACGACCUCUUCAAGGCAUCCAAGUUUGCCGAGGCAUGCAUUGCAUACGGAGAGGGCCUGGACAAAGAAUCACACAAUGCCGUUCUCCUUUGCAAUCGAGCAGCAUGUCACUCCAAGCUCGGACACUACGAAAAAGCCAUCGAGGACUGCAACGCUGCUCUUGUAGUUCGACCUUCUUACAGUAAAGCUCGCCUGAGGAGAGCUGACUGCAAUGCCAAGGUAUGCGAUGUUACUUGGUUGCUUAUUUAACCUAGCUUCUGGACCUGGGGAUUAUGUGCUUUGAGAACAAUUCAUUUGACAUGAGGAUGAUUUCUUGUUUUGCUAGUUGGAAAGGUGGGAAGCAUCUUAUAAGGAUUGUCAGUUGUUAAUCCAAGAGCUCCCGGGAAAUGAGGAGGUAACCAAGGCCCUAUCCGAGGCUGAAGCCCAGCUCAAGAAGCAGCAGAAACAAGAAGCAAAAGAUAGAUCUCAGUCCUAAUGUUCUAGUCAUUGGCCACAGCGCGUUGUUGUAUUGACUCGGUACGUAUUCCAUUUCUUUGCAUUUUCUCUUGGUUCAUUUCCAUUAGUUAUGCGCUAUUGGCAUUGAAAUCUCUAUUUCUUCAAAUUUUUCUCUACAAACAAAGCUUUAAAAUUUCAGUUACAUUCAAACCGGUAGGAUUUCGUUGGUUAAACCUACAUAUUGGGCUUCUGCUCAGUUGGUCUGUAUUUUUUAAGUUUUGGCUGAAACUUGCAAAAUCUUGAAAUUGGUUAACGGGAUAACAGUAAUGUUGCAUAAAUUGAGUAGCUAGAGGAAGUGUGCAGUGGUUAGCGACCAUUUGUGCCCUAUACAUGGUCAAACCACUUUGAUCUAAGAAGCUUAGGCUAGUGUUUAUCGAUCUUUCCAUCUAUAUAGCCACUCGGUCAUUCUCCAACCAAUGUGGGGCUAUUCAAUCUCACACAUGUUCUAUCAACUAGACAGAACAUCAAAACAGAAACUGCUGAAACGACUGGAACAUAUACUUCCAGAAUCAUUAAAUUUACACAUCCGUAGGCAGUUCCACACUACAUAAACAUUAAAUUUAUCUUUAAUGAAUGAUUGAUACUAAUGAGCAGCAAAAGUCUAGAGAACAAGAUAGUUCAAGAAAUCCUGAAAGCCUACUGAUAAUGCGCUGUUAAUUACAAUUGCUAAAGCAAAGCAGACUAUGACUGUGCUCUGUUUUUUAUUCAAUAUGAGAAAGCUUAAGAUUUUUCUCUCGUCUAAGGUGUUCAUUUACCGUUUUGAAUGGUCGGCUGUCAUACUUUUUCUUACUUUGUCUAGUGUUUCGCAUCGGUGACAGCUACCGAAGUCUUUUGUGUUCACCACUGCAUCAUUCUUUAUUUUCUUUUUCAUACAUUUUAACUUUACAUAUUCUAUUUGAAACAUUGUUUUGACUGAUAUGAUCUGUAAGCUUUCUUAUGAAGCUCCUAAAUUCGACCUAAUUGGUGUUGCUUUUUAAAGGGCUAGUUUGCGUUAUGAGAUGUGGUCCUCUACGCAAUCAAGUACCGCAACUUUUCUAAUGUAGUAGGACAACAUUGAUGCCCUUCAAAUCUUAAUCAAGUGAAACUUGUUUGAAGAAUAAAGGAAGCUUCUGCCGUACAACUUCUUUAUACAAAAGUGAUUGAAUCAAGCUAAUGAUUCUUAUUUUUUCUUUUUCUUUUUUUGUGAUAAAAUGGCAGGACUUCACUGCUGGAUGUCGGCAAGUAGAAGAAGUUUUGAAGUGGAGAAUGCAUUCAAUGGAACAAAUCUGUUAGCUAGAUCCAUCUUACUACAGUAAAGUUUGGUUUCGCGAGUUCUUCCGUUAAGAUUUUUUGUUUUUUCCAGAUAAAACUUUUCUGUAAUGAUAAUGUACAUAUUAGUGAGAUCGUUAGCUAUGAAUGUCAUGAGUGCAUUAGUUUUAUACUUGAAAUCUCGAUGAAAGAAAUAUUACACAACAAAAGAACAGAAAAAAAGAAGUGAAAUGUUGCCAUUCAACAGGAAAAGAAAUUUUGAUGAAUACGAAAGGAAUCCCCUGUAUCUUUUUUUCUUUCUUGAUUGGAAAAAGAAUGAAACUUAAUCAGUUCCAUUUUUCUUUCGGAAAAAAGGCAAAUUAGAGAGAUUGUUGUUCCUUGUAUUUCUAUUCAUGUAAUACUUAUGUAUAGUCAAUUUACAGUACGCAUUAGUGAUGAUAAAUUCAUAACAAUGUUUGUUAUAUCUAAGGUGACUUGACAUUGUUAGUUUCACCAAUGUUCGAGGCAUUUAAUUGAACCAUUAGUGAAACCAAUAAAACAUUAAUCCCAGCCCAUUAUUAUUCUUUUUUCAAAACACUUAACUAAAGAGUACACAAGCACAAUAUUAACGGAAAGAAAGAAAUAGAAAAAAGAAAGGAAAAGAGUUAAAAAAAAAAGAAAAAGAAAAGAAAAGAUCCAGGAUAAUAUACAUUGGGGUAAAAUGAUUAUGUUUGAGCAUCCUUUUGCUUUUGCCAAGAUGAGGUUGGAAAAAGCCGCACCUAUCUUUCCUAAAAGCUACAUGGUAAGGUGCACUAACCCAGCAUCUUGGUCCCAUUGGGCCUAUUUAACUUACACAUCCAACAAGUCGAUAUAAACUCAUUCAAGGCCUAUUUAACUUAUACCUACCUCCUACAGCGCAAGUAGUAAAAAAUUUAAUAUUUGAUUUUUGAGAUCUCAAGUUGGAACGAAAUGAAUUACAUAUUAUCUUUCUCUAAAAAAAAAUAAUAUUAUCAAUUUGCCACUCGAAUGCCUUAUUUUUAUAGCACGUGACAGUUCUGCCUGUCUACUUUUACACAGCGCGCGCGCACACGCAGGAACAUAGUGCACACAUGCACUGGAAACGGAGAGACAAAAUAAAUUAGCUCUAGGAAGGGAAAAAGAAAGAGGAGGGCAAGAGAGUAAAUUGUUGAAAGAUGUACAAUAUUUACAUGCAAAUUCACUCCACAUUAUUUUGGUAUAAGCUCAAAUUUUCUAAAGAAAAAGAAAGCGAAAAAGAAAAAAAAGUACAAAAAACACAACAAAUUAAACACCAGCUAGCAAACGCACGGCCAAGUAUUCACCACCACUAAUAAAAGAAAAAGACCAUAAAAACAUACGUUUGACACACAAAAUCAGAUUCGAUAGCAUAAUAAUAUAAAAAGACUGAUGCUGAUGCUGUAAAGCGAAGAUUUAGUGACCGGAGGCGUCGAGAUCAGGUGUUGUUAUAUCUGACUUCGCUGGUACUUGCCGUGAUCCUCGGCAUCGAUCGAUAUCUUCAAGUCGCUAAACUCACUCCUUUUUAAGAUCCAGCAUCUUUCUCUGAUCACUUUAUCUAAAAUCCAAAUCUAGGUAUGGAACAGCAGCCAUAUCUAGUAUAAUAAGUAACUUGGAAGCGGAAAGAAGAGAAGAGAAAAUGAACGAGAUCGGUGCACUCGAUCUUCUGCGUCGAUCAUCUCUUCCAGCUCCGACUCCUGGCGAAGGGAUCGGCGCUUCCGACGACCCACGUCUCCUUGGCGAUGUCCAUGGAGACCUUGAAGAAGUCCGGUGCGUAGCUCAUCAGCACCAGCCUCUCCUUUUCCUUCUCCUUCUCCUUCUCUUUUAUCAUCUUCAUCAUCUGCUCUUCCUUCUUCUCAACAUCAUCAUCAUCAUCAUCAUCAUCAUCAUCCUCCUUCUCUACUUCUGCGCCUUCUUCGCUAUCUUCUCUCCGUUUUCUGCUCAGUAAGCCCUUCGCGGGGGCCGACCUGCACCUCAUCAGCAACAGAGCAUUCGGAGGCGGCACCGCAGACGGUGCAACUUCGUUGUCUUCUUCUUCUUCUUCUUCUUCUUCUUCUUUCUCGUCUUCUUCGUCGACUAAUUCUUCCUCUUGCUCUUCAAAAUCGUUCAAAUAAUACACCACAUUAGAUAUUCUGUAUCUGAACGUACGUUUACAGAAGCUGCAAUUUAAGCAAGUAAGAAAAGAAAUAACCCGAUUGGGUCGUUACCUUCUUUCUUGAACCCAAGGCCUUGGUCCUGCUCUAAGACCAUGAACCACUUUGAGAAAAUAGUCCUCGUCUCACUACUACGACUCUCCCCAUCCCCAUCCCCAUGCUUCGCCUCCACCUCCUCAUCUUCAUCGUCGUCCUCUUCCGCUUCGUCGUCGUCGUCCUCCUCCUCCUCCUCCUCCUCCUCCUCCUCGUCAUCCGUGCUGCACUCUACGGCCCCACGGAACGACCCGAAGCAGCCGAAAUUGAAGUGGACCCCGCGCAGGGCGCCGAGGAACUGCCACGCGUCCUUCUUCAGCCCAAUCGCCUCCAGCCACGUGGGCUUCUUCCUCCGCGCCGUCCGAUCGGCGCGGAGCCGCUCGAUCUCCUCCACGACGGAGAGCCAGGUCCUGGUGGGCCGGGGCUUGGGAGUGGGCUUGGGCCGGCCCACCUUGAUCUGGCCCGCGCACGUGACCUUGGGCGAGGUGGGCUCGUCGUCGGCGUCGGGGGAGCGCGCGCGCCUCGCCGCGGCGGCGGCGCGGGGCUUGGCGAAGAGCGGGCUCGGGCUCGGGUGGCCGCGGGAGUUGGCGGUGGUGGUGAUGCUGGGCCGGGCCGGGUGGCGGAGGUGGCGCUUGCCCGGCUCUGCCUUGCUGGGCCGAGAUGGGCUGCAAAUGGGCUUCGGCAUUAGCGCCAGGUGGGCCCGCGAGGGGAAGCACACCAGCAGGUCCGUUGGACCCGCUCCGUUUCCUCCUCUUCCCUUCAUACCUCCUCCUCCUCAGUUCCUCCUCUCUCUCUCUCUCUACUCCCUCUCUCACUCUCUCUCUCUCUAUUGUUUUUGUAGAACUAUGCUCCUACUCUGCUCUUCAUGGCUCUCUCUCUCUCUCUCUCUCUUUUGCUAAUGUUUUUGCACGAGUAUACUCUGUAGGAGAGGUUAGAGGGGGGAUGGGUAGAGUAGUUUAAAAGGGAGGAGCUUUGCCAGCUUUUUCCUUCUUUAAGCUCUUAAUAUUAUAUAGGGGGCAAGAUUUAAUAUUUUAGGCCAAAAUGUAUGGAGACCGCCUCAAAUAUAGGUAUUUAAAAUGGCCCCCUCAUUGUUUUUGUUUUUAUUGAUUGAUUGAUUUUCUUCUUUGUUUUUCGGUUGUAAGUCUUAAUUGUUUUCAUACGGAGUAAUUUUUUGUUAAAUAAAUUUGUGCUACCCAUUUCAAAAUUCCCUAUUAUUAAGGGCUUUCCGUACAUUUUUUACUUUACCAAUAAUUUUACGUGUUUUCCCUGCUUGCUUUUAUAGUUGAUGAUCACGGGCAUUUGCUCCUUUUGUGGGUCUCAGCCUUUUACUUUUUCUUCCACUUUUUGCCUUUUUUUUUUUUUUUUUUUGCAUGCAGAUAUAAAAGGUAUAAAAGGUAGAUAUAAAUUAAUGAACAAGUCCCCAUCAACUAUUUCAUGAACCAACCAAAACCAACUUUUCCCUGUGAGAGAACAUUUUAUUAAAAAGGUGUAACAUGAAACAUGAGCUUAUACUUAAUUAAAGCUUUGCUUACCAUCAUUACAAUUUUUAAUAUUAAUUACUACAUCAUUAAAAUCCUGUAAUACAAUUUAUUAAAUCUUAAACUACAAGGAACUGUUUUAUGGGCUAUGAUGAACCCUAACAACUAGCUUUUCCACACAAAAGAAAAUAGUUUAAUACGUCAUCAUUCUACGUUUCUUUGCCCCUUAUCUCUCUCUCUCUCUCUCUCUCUCUCUCUCUCUCUCUCCUAUUAAAGUACUAUAUAUUCACAUUAUAUUAAUUAUCAUUGUUAGAUAACCUAAUAAGGUAAAUAAUUUAAGGACUCCAUGUAACCGCAACCAAAUCAUUUAAUUUGCUUUAUAACUUUACCGAAGUGACAUAGCCAAAGCAGUUUUUACUAUUGUCUGAGUAUAUACAUUAUAUCUAACCAUGUUUUAAUUUUUCUUUACUUCGCAAAAUAGUAGAUAUUGCUAUGAUAAUAUUAGCUCCCUUUACCACAAAAUUUUCUACUCUUUGUUCCCAUGGCCACCAACUUCGUAAAGCCUUAAUUAGGAUAGGAAAUUAAAGGGGCCAUCCAACUUGUUAUAUAGUAAAACACACUAAUUAAUUUGGUACUAUGGUCCAACUUGUAUCUAUAUUUAUGAAGUACAAGCUAGUUCAUGCUUCCAUAAACAAUUUAGUAUCACUUAUUCAUGAGUAGGCUUGUAAACAUUAUAUAACCAACUUCUUUUUAAAAUGGAAAUUUUAUUUUACUAACCAAAUUGAUAUAUAUAGUUUUAAUAAGUUUUAAUUCUUUCAAUAAAAUGGCUCGGAGCCAAGAUAUAUGCGGCAUGAUCAAUGAUGAGCUAGUUUAGAAGCAAUGCCUUGAGACGUGGGGGAGAGGAUCGGUCAAGCAAAAGGAAAGCGAGCAAAUGAGAUUUGAUUAAAAAUGUGGAAGGUUUGAUCAUGGGUUUGUAUAUUUAGUAGAGGCAUUGAAUCAAGGUGAUGACAAUAUCAAAUAUUCGAAAGUAAAAAUUUGGUGUCAUUGAGGAUAUAUAUGCACAUGAAAGUUCCUAAAUUUAUUUUCUAUAAAGAGGUUUUUGACGCUUGAAGUACUCACUCUUCUUUUAUGUUUUCUACCUUGUUGCAUUUCAAGCAUAUGUAUGGCUCAAAAUGGAACUUUGCUUUAAUGAGAAAAACAUUUGAGGAUUUUAAUAAAACAUUUGUGAAGUACUCAUUUGAACAACCUUAAUUAUUUGCAAUAGCUCUUAUGCAAAACCGAAGGAUUUUAAGUUAUCUUCUAUCUUUUAAAAUAUAUUUUGACAAAUGGCAGUUAGGCGGCCAAGCAGAUCCUUAAAAAUUUAACAUCUACCCCACAAUCUUGAAAUAGGUUACAUAAACAAAAGGAGAUUGAUAAUGUCCAAGAGAUGCUUAAGAUCAUGUUUAAUUAUUGUAUUCUUUAAGCAAGAAGACUUUUGUGUCAAGUUUUGCUUUUGGAAUAAUGUGGUGUACUAUAUAUUAUUAUGAAGCAUCUCCCGGAAUCAAUUUCUAUAUGGAGUUGGUACAUUCAUUUAUCUGGAAACCAAUCAUAAAGCUAGGGCACUCAAUAUUUUACAAACAAUGAUGUGUAAAGAUGGGGUUUAUGUAAAGAAAGGGUACCAUUAUGAAAGAGGAGUGAUGCUUAAUUGAGAGUAUGUAAAAGGAUGGCCCUCCACUAAGGCCAUAGUGAUAGUGGUUGAUGGAUAUAUAACACCUUUGGUUGAGAACCUAGAAAUAUCUGAGCUACCAAAUUUGAAGUGUUAAGGGAAUGUGCAGUGGUUGCUAAUUUGUUUCCUAUAAGAAUUUUUUUUUUUGUGCAUAUUUUUUUUGUUAUAUUAUCCCAAUAAGUUGGGUUGGAUUAUAAUUAUAGACAAUGGGGGUGUGCUUGGUUCGAAAUCGGAAUCGGUAUCGAAAUAUGAAUGAGAAUAAACUAGAAACAGAAUGCAAAUGAUUCAUUACCUUAUUCUAUUUAGUUCGUCGCCUGAAUCGGAAUAAAAAAUAGAAUAAACUAUUCCCGUUGUCGGUAUUUGGUUCAGAUAGAUAUUAGAAAUGUAAUCAAAUUAAUAUGUUAAUUUUAUCUUUAUAAUAUAUUGGUUUAAAUUCAAACUAAAAAUUAAAUAUUAAAAAUUUACGUCAAAAUUUUAAAAUGAUGUCAAAAUUUUAAAUAUAUUUUUUAAAAAAAAUAAAAAUUGAAAUUGGACGGAUAAUUCAAAAUAUAAAAUAAAAUUUUAAUUUAUUCAAAGUCAAACAUAAAAUUAUAAUUUUAAUUUUAAUUUGAAUCCACAAAUUUAAUUGAAAAUUUAAGUAAAUUUUGAAUAAAAUUUUAGAUUUUAAAUUUAAAUUCAAAUUUAUGUAGAUUCGAAAUGCUUGAUUAAAUUUUAAUUUUAAUUUAAGUUCAAAUUAAAAUAAAAAUUUAUAAAUAUAAUUUUAAUUUCAAUUUAAGUUCAAAUUAAAAUUAAAAUGUAUGAAUAUAAUUUUAAUUUUAAUUUAAGUUCAAAUUAAAAUUAAAAUUUUUAAAUAUAAUUUUUAAAUUUAUAUUUAUAUUUUAAUUAAAAAAUAAGUUAAAAAAAUUAAAUUUAAUCCGAGCAAUGGAACCAAAGACGCCCUAGGUAUCAAUUUUCACAUUGGAUUGGUUGAACAGUGUGUGGAAGGUGCAAAUGGACAAAAUUAAGCUUAGUGGGCCGAAGCAAUUGCGGGCUACCUCCUGGCCUUUUCGGCCCAAAAAAUUUUGGGCCGUUACAUCAAACCACCCCAUUUAAACGAUUUAACAAACCCUACUAAUUAAUUUGGCAUCUUAAUAUUAAUAUAUUACUAAUAAUAAUUUGGAUUUAAACAUUUUUGGGAUUGGGCCUAACUAGUUAUUAGUCCUAAUACACUGGGCUGCUACAAAAUCAAUCCGUAAGCUUGAAUGAAUUUUGGAAAAAAAAAAAAAAAAAAAAAAAAAAGAGAGGAGGAAAAAGAGUGAAGGAGAAGGAUUUGAUGUCAUGAUCAACUUAAACAAAUUGGCUCCAACUAAAGCACAGUUUAAACUGAGAUGUACAACUAUGUUGAAGGGUAGUAGCAAAUCAACUUGUGACAGUAAGUUUGUCCCGUGCGUGCAGGUACUAAACCUUAAUUUUUAUAGAUUAUUAUUAUUAUUAUUAUUUUAGAGAUAAGUAGCAUGCUACCCACUUCGUUUAUUUCAUUUAGAAAUAAACUUAGCUAAAACUGUGAAUCAAGUAGAAUUCGAAUUCGGGACCUCGGAUAUCAACCACCAAGCGCUUUGCCACUUGCGCUAGAUUCGAACUCGGGACCUUGUAGAUUUUUAUGAGCUAAAAACAUGCGGAACUAAAUAGAGUAAUUAUCUACGAAGAUCAGCCCAAAUAAUUAAUAGGCACUAUUCAUCCGGCCCAAACUACCAGCCCACAAAGUACAAGUUUGAAUCAUAAACAUAGUUAGUUAAUUCGGAUUCAGCAAAAAUUCGGUACGGGUAUAAUUCGGAUAAAAUUCGUUUUUAAAUUUUUAAAUUCGUUGAAAAAUACGGCUAAAAAACGGGUUCGGUAAUUAUUCAGAUACGUGAUUUAUACGGAUAUAAUACGUUCACCAAUUAAAAAUUCGGGAUAAAAAAUUCGGCUAUAUAAUAAAUAUAUAAUAAUUAAUAUACUAUAUAUAUUAUUAUUAUAAUUUUUAUAUAUAGAUUAAAUAUAUUCAUAUAUUAAUAAUAAACAUAUAUUAAUAAUACAUAAAAUUUAUAUAUUUAAAAAUAGUAAUAAAUAAUUAUAAAUUUAUAAAUAAAAUAUUAUAUAAAUAUUUAUAUAUAAAAAUAAAAUAAUAUAUAUAAUAAAUGAAUAUAUAUUUAUAAAUAAAAAUUAUAUAUAUAUAUAUAUAUAUAGUAUUAUAUAUAUAAAAGAAGGAGGUCCACUGUGGACCUCCCCUCAUGCAGUCCACGAGGCUGAAAUAGCCUCGUGGACCGCGCAUCAUCCAUGCUUUCAAAACCCCCGCAUUUUUACUGUUCAACUUUCACUUUUCCAGAAGGGCAUCGGGCGAGGGGAUGGGAUCUGCUGCCGCGGCUUUUGCUCCCAGCGCCGGCGAGGGCGGCGGAGGACGAUGACGAUGCGAGCAGCGACGAGAGGGCGACAACGCGAGCGGCCACGAGAGCAGCGACGACACUAGCGGCGAUGACGCGACCCUCGGCCGUGAGUCCGUGACCGUGAUCACAGAUUUUUUGGGCGAAUUAUUCGCGAAUCGCGAAUAAUUCGCGAAUAAUAAUUUUUGAGAAAAAAAUCACACCUUUUUUUGAAUUUUUUGAAAAAAUACGAAAAUCGCCGUUUAAUUCGUCCGUAAAAAAAUUGCCGUUUAAUUUGCGUAUUAAACGCGAAUUAACUAACUAAGAUCAUGAAUCACGUUGGGAACAUCGGUCACACCAAUCGACUUUCAAAACUAGGCCCCUUCACAAGCGGACUCGAGAAGAGUUCAAAUUUUUUCUAAUGUGCCGACAUCAAUCGUCCUUGGGACAGGUACCAUUGUAGUGACAGGCCACAUCAUGCAUCAAUUCCAAAGUCAUUAAUUCAAUUAUGUAUCGGUCGCUAUAUUAUUUUAGCAUUUCUCGAUUAAUCAAAAACUAAAUAAUCUCCAAAUUGGCCCACUAUUUAAAACAAAGAUGCUCUCCCACGUCCACACCACAAAUGCGUUAGUUCACACUGCUCUUUUUUUCUUUUUCUUUUUCUUUUUCUUUUUUUUCUGAGAGAUAGGUAGCACGCUAUCCGUUUCGUUUAUUUCAUUUAGAAAUAAACUUAGCUGAAAGUGUAAAUCAACUAGGAUUCGAACUUGGAAUCUCGGGUACCGACCAUCAAAUUUUUUGUCACUUGCUAUAAGGAUAGUUGGUGUGUUAGUUCACACUGCUACAAAAUUAAUAAGAUGCAACCACAGCAAUUUGAAAUUUGAUUAGCUAUGACAAUGAUCCAGCUUUAAGUUUGAUUUCUCUUUCCGAAUAAUUAAUUGUAUAUGCAUGAGUCAUGCCAGGAUAAAGAAAUAAAACCAACUCCCAAAUAGCUCGCGAGGCCUAUAAUUAAAAUUUUUGGUUGGAAUAAACCAUCUUAAUACUUUUUACAAAACUUAAAGCACGUCUGAUGUACUAAAAGAACAUACCUAACUAAAAUUGUUUUUUAUGCAAAAUAAAAAUGAUAUCAUUAUCCAAGCAAUUUAGAAUUAUAUAUAACUUAUAUUACAGUGCAAUGAAAAUUUAUGAUAAAGCCAAUUCUAUUUGUUUUUAUAGAUUAUAUUUGUUACACAAAAAAAAGAAAAAAGAUUAAGAUAAUCCUUCCCUUUAUUUCUUCUAUAAAUAUUAAAAAUAUAGUUUAUAAAUAUUAAAAAUAUAGUAGAAAAUGAGUUCAAAAUAUAUAUAAUACUUCUGCGCCUAGAAAUACAAAUUAACACUCUCAUUCACAUGCAUGAUAACAAGUGUUUUUAUAAGAGUUGAGCUCAUGUACUUUUAAAUGUGCUUACAAUUUUUUAAUAGUUGAAUUGCCUCAAAAUUCGUAUAGUAUUAACAAAAAAAUUUAAUAAAACACACAAUUAAUAAUACUGUACGAACUUCAUGACUAAAAAGUCACAAUUAUAAGUCCUCCUUAACUUUCAAAAGCACAAAAAAUCAACUCUAUUCUGUUAAUUUUUUGGAAAAACGACAAAUAUCGUUCCCGUGGUUUCACACUUUCUCACUUUCGUACCCUAUAAUUUAAAGUGUAUUAAUUUAAUACCUUAUGAUUUUAUUUUUAUAUUUUUAUUAUCGAUUUUUCUAUUUUUUUUCGCUAAGUCAGUGACAAAGUUAAAACUAAAGAACAGUAAAAUGAAUAUUCGAUAAAACUAAGUUAGAUAUUUGAAAUUUUUUAUAUAUAAUUUAAUAAAAUAUUAAUAAAAAACUGAUGAAAAGAUAAAAAUAAGGAAAAACUUCAAAAAACCUCCUUGUGGUUUCAAUUUUUUUCACUUUAGUACCCUGUGGUUUAAAAUGUAUCAAGUUAGUACCCUGUGGUUUCUCACUUUAUCACUUUNNNNNNNNNCAAUCACAAGACACUAAAUAAAAAUCCCUUUUAAAGUUUUUGAGGGGGACACCAAAGUGUGAAAAAGUAAAAUCAUGGGACACCAAAUUUCACAGAGUUCAAUCAUGGGACACCAAAACAUGAAAUAGUGAAAUCAUGGGAUACCAAAGUGUGAAAUAGUGAAAUCAUGGAAUACCAAAUUUUUUGGUGACCCAUGAUUAAACUAUGUUUUAAUUUUGGUGUCCCAUGAUUUUACUAUUUCACGUUUUGGUGUCCCAUGAUUAAACUAUGUAAAAUUUGGUGUCCCAUACUUUCACUAUUUCACUCUUUGGUGUCCCAUGAUUGAACUAUGUAAAAUUUGGUGUCCCAUGAUUUUUAGAAACACCUUAAACUACAAUACACUAUUAAAGUCAAAAGUACAAAACCACAAAAAUAAUAUUUAAAGUUUACCUUAAUUAUUUUAUAUAAUUUAAUAAUACGUAAGAAUAGAGGAAUCUGCAUCCAUCUUAUUUUAUUUCUUUCUAUUUAAUUCAAGCUUGGUCCAGAUAAAGACUAGGCCCAAAUGUGAACAUCCGCAUUUUAUUUGCCACAUACCAAAACACCACCAGCGGGAUACGGGCCAUACGGCAUACAGCAUACAGCAUAGCUAGCAAGCACUGCUGAUCAAAAUAGGAAAAAAAGAAAAAAAAGAAAAAAAAAAAACUAAAAAUGCCGAGACAGGGAAGGAAGACAGGUCAGAUCAGAUCAGAUCAGAUGAGGCCAGCUGUCGGCAGCUCAGUGGUCCUCGUCCUUGCCGGCGGCGGUGGCGAGCCACUGCUCGACGGUGAAGAGCUGCUGGGCGCAGCCGGCGUGGGGCCCGGUCGUCGUCACCUCCACGUAGUUGCAGUACCACCCGUGGUGGGCCCCGCUGCCGUCCGACGUCAGGUUCAGCCGGCAGGGCGGCGACGAAGUGCAGGGCCCGAGCCCGCUGAACACGUCGAGGUUGCCCCGCUCGAAGUAGUUGUGGCCCUCCCCCAUCAGCCCCCCCCACGCCUCCAGGUUCGUGAUCCGCACCCCGGAGCCGUCCGAUCCCGUCAGCUCCACGCCGAUCACCGAGUCCGUGCCCCCCUUCCAGAUCGACCCCGUCCGCACGUACAGCGUGUACACGCACUUGUCCGAGUCGUCCCCGCCCCCCACACCGACCGAUCGGGAUCCGACGGCCUGUGUGCGUAGGAUCGACGGUAAUUAAAUAUGGGAAAAAAGAGGUUUAUUUAUUUACCGUUUAAACGCGCGCUUACCUCGAUGAGUGAAGCAGCAGCGGUGGAGUGGACGAGGGAGGAGCCGAGGAGGAGGAAGAGGAGGACGAGGAAGGGGAAAGGGAUACCCAUUUUUGAGGAUUUGAGGAGGAAAAGAAAGGGGAAAUGAAAUAUAAAGGGCAAAAAUAAAAGAGUGAUCGCUGUGGUGGGCCCCAGGCAUCGAUGUGUAAAUAGUUGGAUCGUUUUUAAUUAAUGAGAAGGGGAUUAUUCUAAUCCGUGUUAUUAACGAAAAAUAAACUCUAUUGCCAAGGAAAAUUUGUUCAAAACUUCUUUACAACAGUUUUUAAGAUAUGACUUAAACCAUUCUUAUUAUUUUGAAAUAAAAUAAGAGUAAUAAGUGAUAUAGAGGAAAUGCAUAUUAUGCAUUCCAUCCGCUACAGAUCUGAGAAUGUGUCACGUGAUAUUCUAGAUGAUAUUCUAGAUGGGAUUUUGCACAUCCCACCUGGUUCACACAAUGUUCGAUCUUAUUAAAGAUCUAGGGGCAUUUCCGGUGUAUCGAUCGAAAACUUGUUUUGUCGGGUUCGAGACCCGGAGUUGCGGUUGACCCCGCUGUAAUUCGCAACGUGUCGGUGCGAACGAGCCCGAUCCCAACCCGCGUCGCUCCGCGACCGUGCUGUGGUGCGUCGUACGGAGCUUAUGGUCUAGAGCCCACGUUCUCAUCCCUAUUCAGGUGGGACCCUCGCUUCCAUGACACGUGGCAUUUGUUUGUGUGUGUGUGUGUGUGUGUGUGUGUGGUGUGUGUGUACAUGAGUUAUAUUGCUUAUAUAUAUAGCAUCUCUAAUCAAGUACAUAAUUUUUUUUAGUUCAACCAUUCAAUAAUAGUUAUUAGAAAAAUAUAUUAUUAUAUCUUCUCUUAAAUAAAAAAAUUUAAUUAGUUGAUUAUUGAUAAUAUAAUGUAAGUAUUACGUAGUAAAUUUCUUUGGCCGUAGGGACGUAACGCAUAAAUCUGGAACCUGUCAAGUCUCGCAAUGGCCUAUUUGAUAGGAGUGAUUUUUAUAAAAUUAAUUUUGAAAUAAAAAAUUAAUUUGGUUAAAAAUUAUAGAAUUUUAUGCUAAGGGUGUGUUCGGUUACUUGUAAAAUCACCUCGAAUUUUUUUUUUCGAUUGGAACAUAAAAUUUUGAUGUUUUUUUACUUGUAAAAAAAUUAUUCCAGCAAAAAAUUUUACAAAUCAGAAGGAAAAUCAAACUUUAAUUUAAUAUUCGAAUUAAAAAUUAAAAAUAAAAUUAAAAAUUGAAUUUGAAUCCAAAAUUAAAAUCGAAUUUUAAGUAGCAAAUUUUAGAUGCUUCUUCUGAUUAUGGGCUUCUAAAAUUGAAAAAUUGAAAAAUCGAUUCUAAAAAUUAAAAUCAGAUUUUGAAAUAGAUAUUGCCAAAUGCUCUAUUGGCAGUAAAAUUACUUUUGGAGAGAGCUAGGCCUAACACGGACAUAGUGAACGGACACGGGCCGUACAAGAGACGCUGGUGGUGUUAGACUACGUCUUGGUGGCCCACGGUACGGCCCGGCCUGCAUCAAAAUACGGGUCCUUCUGUAGCGGUUCUAGAGCCUGUAAGCCGACAUGAUACGGCCCAUUUGGGCAGUGCUCAACCAGGCAUCGAAGCCCGGCCCGACAAUUUUUUUAAUAUUUUAUAAUAUUAAAAGAAUUUAAAUAUAUAUAAACUAAUAAUUGUAUAUAUUAAAAUAAUAUUAUUAAAAAAUUUGAAAGUAAACAUUAAGAAAAUAUUAAAAAAAAUUAAAAAGGGUCCUCGAGGAUGGAUCAACUCCCAAAUCCAAAGGGAGAGGGAGAAAAUAGAGACCUCGAUUUCCUCAUAUUUUUCUUUUUUAAUUAUACAUUUUUUUUUUUUUUCAUUUAAAGAGUGCAUGUCAAUCUAAAAAGAAAGUCAGUAUUACUAUAAUAUAUACAUUUUUCACAAUAUUAUUCUUAUAUGCUAUGGAUGUCUGUAUUGUCAUAUUCAUGUGGCGCAUUUCGAAGCGCUGACGAGUGAAUUAAUUAAAGAUCUCCAGAUCGUAAAUACGAAAGCAAACCAAUUAAGAGAUGAUCGAUCGAUAUACACAUAAUAAUAGAGUAAAUAAGUCCAAAUCUUAUUUAUUGUCCACAUUUAUUUUACUAGAUACCAAGACACAUCAGUGGGCCGGUGGUGCGUAGAAAGUAAACUCAUAUAUGCAUACAGCAGCAGUAAAUCGAGUACGCAUGCAGCAGUACGUAGACAAGCUAACCGCUGCCGGCGCCUCGAUCUCACUUCUCCUCAUCGCCGUCCACGCCGUUGCCGUUGCCGUUGCCGUCGCCAUCGCCGUCGCCGUUGUUGCCGGUGUGUGGGCGGCAGUUGUCGCGCACGGCAGUGAGAUGGUGCCCCCCUCCGGCCGCGAGCCACACGUGGAAGUCGAACCGGUGCUUGGUGCACUGGGAGUCGGGCCCGGCGGCCCACAGCUCCACGAAGUCCACGAACCACCCGGGAUGGGACCCGCUCCCGUCCGACGUCAGCCUUAUCCAGCAGGGCGGCCACGUGAUGCACGUCCCGCACCCGGCGAAGGCGUCGGCAUAUCCCCUCUCGAAGUAGUUGUAGCCAUCCCACAUUAAUCCGCCCCACGACUCUAGGUUCGGGACGUGGUACCGGACGUGAUCCGGUCCCGCUAAGGUAACGCUUAUCUUCGAGUCCGUGCCCGCGUUGACCCGGUUCCCCGUUUGCACGCGCAGCGUGUAAAGGCAGUGGUUCGAGCCCCCGCUUCCCACGCCGCAGCCCUGCUCCAGUCCCGCGCCCUGCCAUAACACACAUCAAACAACAAUAAUUUAAUCCGUCAAAUAUAUAUUAUAAGACAUAGAAAUUGAACUCUCAAUCUCCCCGACAGGAAAAAAAGUUUAGAAUUAAGUAUAAUACCAUAUUACAUAAUGUGAAACGAUGGUACAACUUUUUGUCAUAAGCAGCUACAUACUAAUCCUAGAAAAUUGUAUUCUAUCUUAGGAGAUGUUCGGUUGGAUCGGUGCAUAUAACGAGAUAUACAAGAGAUGGCGAGAGACAGACAGAAAUGAUUGCAUUGCGAUAAAAGAUGGAGAGAGAAAGGGCUUGAGCUGAAAUACAUUAAUAAGAGUGCAUGAAUAGUAUUCUUUGUCGACUUUCUUACCAGUACAAUCAUCAAAUAAUAAAUUCAUAUGCUCGUAAGAGCAUUCCAGCCAUCGCGAGAAAACGGAGACCAGUCAGAAAUCAUCCUGCGUUCAAUACUCUUAAUUUCUUGUGGUUGUACAUUUGUGGCAGGUUAUCACCAGCUGAGUUCAGUCUUUAAGCUAAUUUUUUUGGAAAAUAAAAUAUGCUAUUGAAUCAUAAAUAUCAAAAUUUUUUAAGGAGCGAAAAUCAAACUCCUUACUUACAAUCACAGAAGAAUGCACAUGAUAUUCCAAUUCAGGCUUUCGAGCAUAUUUUCGUUUUAUCAAAUACAACAUGUUUGUUGGGUAAAUUAACGAUAUAUACUUAAUAAAACAUAUCCGCGCAUUUCGUUCUGUAAAUUCAAACAACAUCGGACGUUCUUAUAAACUUUGAAAACUCAAGGGUUCAAGGCCAUUUUUGGGGUCCCUGAUGAAUAGCUAUAUAUUUCUCUGCGGUCACGUACCUCUAUGAUCGGACGGCCGGUGGAGUAGGCGAGGAAAGGUAGGAGGAAGGGGAGGAGGAAGUAUAGUGGUUUCCAAGCUAUGGUGGCAGCCAUGGAGAGUAAUUGAGAUUGGCUCGUUGGGGAGAAAGGAGGGAAAGAGAGCUGAUAUAUAUAGAGGAAAGGAGACUGGGUGUGGUCCCCACCGCUUGCUUAUCUUCGGGACUCUAUGCCCACGUUUAUAUUAAAUUAAAAUAUUAAAAUAUUAUAUUAUUUAUAUUAUUUAUUUUAAAUUAAAAUAUUAAAUUAAAAUAUUAAAAUAUUAAAAUAUUAUAAAACGUCUAUGCCCACGUUUUAAAUUUUAUAUUUAUAUUUUAAACUAAAAUAUUAUAUUAUAUAUUUUUUGUUUAGAUUUUAUAUUAAAAAUUAAAAUUCACAAUUUAAAUUAUUUUUUAAAAAAAAUUUAAUAAAAAAAUAUUAUUUAUAAACAGUAAAAAAAUUACUAAAUAUGACCGAGAGCUAUUUUNUUAAAAUAGAUUAUAUUUUAUUAUCAGUAUUAUUAAAUUUUUUAAAAUGAACAAAACAAAAGAAUUUUAUAUACACCGAAGGAAAUUGCCUGAUUAGCUUCAGCUCAUGAUUGAAAGGUUCCCCUUUAUAAUGGUUUUGUCAAGAAAGAUAUUACAUAUAUAUAGUAUUUUACUUAUAUACUAGAGUAUUAAUGUAUACAUAUUUUAUUUAUAAAUUUGUAAUUAUUUAUUAAUAUCUCUAAAUAUAGUAUUUUUUAUAUAUUACGUAAUAUAUUUAUUAUAAUUUUAAAUAUUUUAAUCUAGAAAUUAUAAUAAUAAAUUAUAUAUAUAAGUAUAUUAAUUGUUAUAUAUAUUAUUAUAAUAUAUAAUAAAAUAUAUAUUAAAUAGUAUAUAUUUUUUUUUCAACCAAAACAAUUGUCAUGAAAAAUUUUUUUUUUCUUACAAAACUAAACACUAAACAACGUAAAACUAUUUUUUCACGAAAAUUUUUUAUUAUCAUUUUUUUCACGAGAAAACUAACAAAGAAACUUUUAAGUUUAAAGAAUCAUACAUAUGAAUCAUGCUUCACAAGUUCUAAAAAAUUACUUUCCAAAUUUAGUCCACUUAAAAUUCUUAAAAAAAUAAGUUUACAAAAUUAGUCAUAAAGAAUUUGAAAUAAGAUUAAUUAUAUAUAAAAUAAUAAUUAUGUUAAAUUUCUAAUGAUUUGAACCUUUUUACCUUCUUCAUUUAAAAGUCUUUAUUUUAAAUUAUUUAGCUUACAUUCUAUUAGUAUAUCAUGAUAGUAUUAUUUUAAUUUGAUUCAAUAAUUUUUCUAAUAAUAAAAGCUUAAUAUGUAAAAAUUAAUAUAUAUAUUAUAAAAGUUGUCAUAAAAAGAUAUUAGAAAAACUAUAAUAAAUUAAAAAUUUGAAAUAAAAUUAAUUUUCUUCACCAUUUCAAAUAUGAGUAUUAAAAAUAAUAUAAAUAAUAAUUAUGUUAAAUUUCUAAUGGAUUUGAACUUUUUACUUCUCAUUUUAAAAUCUUUUUAUUUUAAAUUAUUUACCUUACAUUCUAUUAGUAUAUCAUGAUAGUAUUAUUUUAAUUUGAUUCAAAUAUUUUCUAAUAAAAGCUUAAUAUGCAAAAAAUUAAUAUAUAUUAUAUAAAAGUUGUCAUAAAAAGAUAUUAAAAAAACUUAAUAGUAAAAAUUAAUAUUAUAUAUUAUAUAAAAGAUGUAAUUUAAAAGAUAAAAUUAAAAUCCAUGCAUUGCACGGGUUAGUUGCUAGUUACUAAAUAAUACCGAGAGCUAUUUUAAAAUAUGAUUAUAUUUUAUUAUCAGUAUUAUUAAUUUUUUAAAAUGAACAAACAAAAGAAUUUUAUAUACACCGAAGGAAAUUGCCUGAUUAGCUUCAGCCUCAUGAUUGAAAGGUUCCCCUUUAUAAUGGUUUUGUCAAGAAAGAUAUACAAUAUAUAUAGUAUUUACUUUUAUAUUGUUAUAUUGGUUUUAGAUUUGUAGUUAUCUAAAUUGAGGUAAAUUCUAAUCUAAUUGGGAUUGAGAUAUUAUAGAUUUAAUUUGGCAUAUAUGAAUUAUAAUUAGGAGUAAUUCUAAUACUAAUUAGAAUUAGACUCUAGUUAGGAGACAUGUAUUAUAAAUACAUGCUACGGCCAAUUAAAGAAGUCGUGACAAAAAGAUUAAGAGCCAUGGAAAAAAAUUAAGGUGUUUGGUGCUCUGUCCGGUAAAGAAGCAGUCUCGACUCAAAAUUAAACUAUGCUGUAAUUAAGCUAUAUAUUUGAGGAUCAGAGUUGACCGACCAUGCAGGUUGGUCUCUAACGAGGAGCCGUAGCCUUAAUUAAGAGGUGAUGCUAUAUUAAAGUAUCUAUUGAGUCGAGCCAUCUCUUCUUUGAUGCUUAUGUCCGUACCACCAAACUGGGAGCGUGCGAGCGUGGUGGCGCUUCGUUAAGAGGUCGAGCAACUUAAGUUUUGUGACGGAUGCUAAUUGCAGCGUUUCGGAUCUAAUUAACGUUUUGGUCUUUUGAGAGAUCUUCUUUGUACUCCGCGCUUUCGACAUUAAUAAAUUAUUUGCUCCGUCUUCGCCCGUGGACGUAGGCCGUUGGCCGAACCACGUAAUUAUUGGUGUGUUCUUUCCUUAUCUUUUCUUUUCUUGCAUUAAGUUAUUUUCUGGAUCUAUUUUUCGCCGUUCCGAUUUUAACAUAUAUAGAGAUAUUAUUUUAUAAUAUUUUAUUUAUAAAUUUGUAAUUAUUUAUUAAUAUCUCUAAAUAUAUAUUUUUUUAUAUAUUAUGUAAUAUAUUUAUUAUAACUUUAAAUAUAUUUAAUCUAGAAAUUAUAAUAAUAAUAAUAUAUAUAGUAUAUUAAUUGUUAUAUAUUAAUAAUAAUAUAUAAUAAAAAUAUAUUAAAUAGUAUUUUUUUUUUUUCAACCAAACAAUUGUCAUGAAAUAUUUUUUUUUCUUACAAACUAAACACUAAACGACGUAAAACUAUUUUUUCACCGAAAAUUUUUUAUUAUCAUUUUUUUUUUUUCACAAUUUUUCCUAGAAUCAAACACAUGCUAAGGGAGCUGGUUGGAUUAUUGAGGCCAUGCAUGACCCAUGACAUGGGCGUGCUUAGACAAAUUUUAGCACAUGGGAGAGAAAAUUUGCUUUAGAAAAGAGUUCAAAAGGUCGAAGAAUCUUUCUUUUCAUCCUAACGGACAAAAGGGAAAUAUGUGUGUGCCGAGUGUACAAUGGCAUCUCUUAUUGCCAAAUUAGUACCCGCGCACUAUUGCUGAUCGAUUUCCCAAAAAUAAAUAAAAUUUAAAAAUUUAAAAAUAAUAAUUAUUAUAGUAAAUACAAAAAUAAAAAUGUAAGAAAGAUAAAAAAAAAAAAUAAAAAAAUCAUAAGAAUAAUAAAUUAUAUUUAUAACAGUAGUAGUUCGAAUCUGAAAUUACAGUUCAUUAAAGUUUGAGAACUAAAACUUCACAUACAUCAUACUUUGAGCAAGAAAAUAUAAGAAUUAAAAUUUGAGAACUAAAUUUUCAUGUGUCUUAUAGUUUGAGUAUCAAAAAUGUAAUUUGUUCUUUUUAUAUAUUUUAAUUUUAUUCCUGACAAGCAUAGAAUUGAGUAUCGAUCGGUUUUAUUCAAUUAGUAAUUUUAUUUGAGAAAAGAAUAUAUAUUAAAUUAUCUAAUAAAUUUUAAAAUGUCUAAUUGUUAAAAUUAAAAGUUGACCAAUCGAUCAUAUUUUGAAUAUUUUAAAAUAUUUUAACUGUGAAAUUGAUUGCUCAUUGAACUAUAAAUAUUGUAUUGAAGUUAAAUAUUAAAAUUAAAGUAAAAACGUACAAAAGUUUUAUUAUCUAACUUUUUUAUAUGUUAGACUUGAAUUAGUUAAUGAUACUUUGACUUCAAAAUUUAAAUUUAUCGUUUAGAUUUACAUAUUUAAUUAGUACUUCCUAUAGUUUUCACAACUAAAUUUAUUAAAUAAGUAAUUAACUUAAGCUUCAUCCACUGCUCUUUUAUUUUUUAUUAUAUAAUUUCUAUCUAAGUGAUCAAUAUAAUAAAAUUAAAUUUAUAUUUAAUAAUGCAAUCUAAACUUUUCUAGAGUGAAAUAAUGGAGAGAAACUUCUUACCAAAGGAAGUGAAUAUUGGGGAAAAAAAUUUUGCCAAUUUCUUUAGAGCUUUGUAUAAUUAUAGAUCACCACCUAAACUUUUGAAAUACAAAGAAACGUACUUCAAAGUUGGGGAUUUUCGUAACAAUUAAGAACAAUACUACACGUACACUUAUAAUGAAGAUAUAAAUCUUACACCAUAACAUUUAAAAGGCCAAUGUUUACUCAUUUGUCUUAUAAUUUUUUUUUUUAAUACUGCAAAUCCAAAAGAUUUUAGACCCUAGAAUUAUAGGUGUNAUAAAUUAUAUUUUAUUGUUAGAAUUAUUAAAUUUUAUAAAAUGAUUCAAAUAUAGAAAUUUGGGAAAACUUCAAAAACCUGUGGUUUCGUAGUUUCUUACUUUGCUCCCCUAUGGUUUAAAAUGUAUCAAUUUACCCCCCUGUGGUUUCUUUUUUCUCAUUUUCUUAUCAAUUUUAUUAUUUUUUUUCUUAAAUCAGUGAUAAAGUUAAAAUUAAAGGGUACUAAAGUGAAUAUUUAAUAAAUCUAGAUGAGUAAAAAUUUGGUGUCAUUGAGGAUAUAUAUACACAUGAAAGUUCCUAAAUUUAUUUUCUAUAAAGAGGUUUUUGACACUUGAAGUCUCACUCUUCUUUUAUGUUUUCUGCCUUAUUGCAGUUCAAGCAUAUGUAUGGCUCAAAAUGGAACUUUGCUUUAAUGAGAAAAACAUUUGAGGAUUUUAAUAAAACAUUUGUGAAGUACUCAUUUGAACAACCUUAAUUAUUUGCAAUAGCUCUUAUGCAAAACCUAAGGAUUUUUAAGUUAUCUUCUAUCUUUUAAAAUAUAUUUUGACGAAUGGCAGUUAGGCGGCCAAGCAGACCCUUAAAAAUUUAACAUCAACCCCACAAUCUUGAAAUAGGUUACAUAAACAAAAGGAGAUUGAUAAUGUCCAAGAGAUGCUUAAGAUCGUGUUUAAUUAUUGUAUUCUUUAAGCAAGAAGACUUUUGUGUCAAGUUUUGCUUUUGGAAUAAUGUGGUGUACUAUUAUUAUGAAGCAUCUCCCGGAAUCAAUUUCUAUAUGGUGUUGGUACAUUCAUUUAUCUGGAAACCAAUCGUAAAGCUAGGGCACUCAAUAUUUUACAAACAAUGAUGUGUAAAGAUGGGGUUUAUGUAAAGAAAGGGUACCAUUAUGAAAGAGGAGUGAUGCUUAAUUGAGAGUAUGUAAAAGGAUGGCCCUCCACUAAGGCCAUAGUGGUUGAUGGAUAACACCUUUGGUUGAGAACCUAGAAAUAUCUGAGCUGCCAAAUUUGAAGUGUUAGGGGAAUGUGCACCGGUUGUGAAUUUUUUACCUAUAAGAUUUUUUUUUUUUUUUGGGUGCAUAUUUUUUUAUUAUAUUAUCCCAAUAAGUUGGGUUGGAUUAUAAUUAUAGACAUUAGGUGCUUGGUUCAAAAUUAGAAUCUGUAUCGAAAUCGGAAUAAGAAUAAGUUGGAAAUGGAAUCAGAAUGAUUUGUUACCUUAUUCUAUUUGGUUCGUUGCCUGAAUCGGAAUCAGAAACAGAAUAAACUAUUCCCAUUGUCGGUGUUUGGUUCAGAUAUAUAUCAAAAAUGUAAUCAAAUUAAUUUGCCAAUUUUAUCUUUAUAAUAUAUUAUUUUAAAUUCAAAUUAAAAAUUAAAUAUUAAAAAUUUACGUCAAAAUUUUAAAUAAUUUUUUUUCAUAGUUUUAUGUAGAAUCAAACACAUGCUAAGAGAGUAGGUGUUGGAUCGUUGGCGCUAAUCAUUAAUCCCAAAAGAUCGAGCUGUUAGAAAUACACAACCAAUUCACUUAAAGCGUACAGAAACAGCGCCCACGGGUCUUGAUUAUGACUCGGCCCACAUGGUUUCACACUAUUUCGAACAUGACUCGGCCCAAUCCAGCCCCAUGCCAUUUCGAACAUGACUCGGCCCACAUGGCCUCCGGCCACAGGGCAGGAUGCUGGCUCAUUUAAGCCAACAAUCCCCCCUCCAGCAUCUGCACACAUUUGCAGCAUGCGAAAAUCGAACCCGUGACCACUGGCUCUGAUACCACUUGUCGGAUCGUUAGUGCUAAUCAUUAAUCUCAAAAGCUCGAGCUGUUAGAAAUACGCAACCAAUUCACUUAAAGCGUAUAGGAACAGCGCCCACGGGUCUCGAUUGUGACUCGGCCCACCUGGCCUCAUGCCACUUCGAACAUGACUCGGCCCAACCCAACCUCACGCCAUUUCGAACAUGACUCGACCCACAUGGUCUCCCAUCAUAGAGUAAAAUGCUGGCCCAUUUAAACCAACAGCAGAUUAUAUUAUUGAUGCUAUGCAUGACAUGACAUGACAUGACAUGCACGAGCUUAGACAAAUUUUAGCACACAGGGAAGAGAAAAUUUGCUUUAGAAAAGUGUUCAAAAGUAGAAGAAUUUUUAUUUUCAUCCUAACGGACAAAAGGGAAAUGAGUGUGCCGAGCGUACAAUGGCAUCUCUUAUUGCCAAAUUACUACCAGCGUACGGCUGCAGAUCGAUUUCGUAAAAAUAAAUAAAUUUAAAAAAUUUAAAAAAUAGUAACUGUUACAGUAAAAUAUAAAAAUAAAAGUAUAAAAAAGAUAAAAAAAUAAGAAAAAAAUUAUAAGAAUAAUAAAUUAUAUUUAUAACGGUAGUAGUUCGAAUAUAAAAUUGCAGUUCAUUAAGACUGCGUUUGGUUGGAGAACUAAAUUUUGGAGAACAACUUUUAUUGUUUCCGAGAACAAGGGAUAUUCUGUUACAAGAUAGAACAAUUGUAAAUUUAUGUUUGGAUGCAUUCGAGAAUAUUCUAGAGGAUAUCUUUAAUAGCUUUUGUAUAAAAAGUCUAGAACAACAUCUAAAUAUGUUUUUAAAAAUAAAAUAAUUAAUUUAUAUUAUUAUAUUUUAUAUAAAAUUAUUUCAUAUAGUAAUUUAUAAUAUAAUAUUUUAUGUAAGAAUCUAAUUUAAAAUAGUAUAUUUUAUUUUAUUAUAUAUAAUAAUUUAUUUUAUGUAAUAAUUUAUUUUAUAUAAUUUAUUCAUAAUAUAUAAAUAAAUAAAGUAUAAUACUAACAAUAUCCCUAUAAUUUUAAUUAAUAAUUAGUAUAAAUUUCAAAACAAAUUACAAUAUAUAUAAUAUAUGAAAAAAUAAUUUUAUGUAUAUAAUAAUUAAUAUCAAAUAAAAUAAUUAAAUAUUAAUAUAUAAAUGUUAAAACUUAAUAAAAUAAAAAAUAUAUCAAAUUUAAUUAAUUUAUAUUAUAUAAUAAAAUUUAAGUAUAAAUAUAUUAUCAUAAAAAUAAUAUUUCUAUUAAUAUAUUUAUUUAUUAAAUUUGAGCAUUCAUUUAUUUAAUUUAUUAUUUGAAAUUAAUUAAAAUAAAGUAUAAAAAAAAGAGCAUAAUAGAAAAAAAAGAAGAAAAAAAAAGGCAAACAAUUGUUGUUCCAGCUUGUUCUCCAUGUUUGGAAGAAUAAGCUUAACGGGUUGUUCUGUUCUCAGAACAACCCGUUAAGCCCGGAACAACUUUGCUGUCCCAUUUUGCAUUAUGUUUGGGGAGAUAAAGAGAGAUAUCCCGUUUUGUUCUGGAAUAUUCCUCUAACCAAACGCAGCCUAAAGUUUGAGAACUAAAGCUUCACAUACCUCAUUCUUUAAAAUUGAGGACUAAAUUUUCAUGUGUCUUAUAGUUUGAGGAUCAAAAGCGUAAUUUAUUUUUUUUAUAUUUUAAUUUUAUUCUAGACAAACACAGAAUUGAGUAUCCAUCGAUUUUAUUCAAUUUGUAAUUUCAUUUGAGAAAAAAAUAUAUUAAAUUAUAUAAUAAAAUUUAAAAUUACUAAUUGUUAAAAUUAAAAGUUGACCAAUCGAUCAUAUUUUGAAUAUUUCAAAAUAUUUUAAAUAUGAAAUUGAUCGCUUAUCAAACUAUAAAUAUGAUAUUGAAGUUGGAUAGUAAAAUUAAAUUAAAAAUGUACAAAAGUUUUUUGAACUACGAAUCAUUUUGGAUCAUAUAUUCAACCUUUCAAAUUUUUAUUUUUACUAUCUAACAUUCUUAUAUGUUAAAUUUGAUUCAGUUAAUGAUAAUUUCACUUCAAAAUUUGAAUUUAUCGUUUAACGUUUACAGAUUUAAUUAGUAUAAUUCAUAUAAUUUUUGCAACUAAAUUUAUUAAAUAAGUAAUUAACUUAAACUUCAUCCAUCGGUCUUUUAUUUUUUAUUGUAUAAUGUUUAUCUAAGUGUCCAAACACUUGAAUUAUCUUGCAUAUUAUAUAAAAUUAUAAGUUUAUCUCGCCAACCACCCCAAACCUUUUCAAUACGCAAGUUUUAAAAUUUAAAUUUUAAAUUGUUAAAUUAUUAUAUUUUAAAUUUUAAAUUUUAAAUUUAAGUUUUUAUUUUAAAUUUUAAAUUUCAAAUUUUAAUUUUUAAAUUUUUAAUUUUUAAAUUUUAAAUUUAUAUUUUAAAUUAAAAUAUUAAAUUUUAUUUUUUUGUUUAGAUUUUAUAUGCAAAAUUAAAAUUCAAAUUUUAGAUUAUUUUAAGAUAAAAUUUAAUAAAAAAUUAUUAUUUGUUAACAGUAAAAAAAAUUACUAAAAUAUGACCGAGCGCUAUUUUGGAAUAGAUUAUAGGAUUAUUAAAUUUUAUAAAAUGAACCAAAUAUAAAAAUUUUAUAAACACUGUAAUUCAUAAUAUUAUUACUGUAUUAAAUUAAAAAUUUUAAAUAUCUAAUUACGUCGAAAUAAUUUGUAAUAUUAUAUAGUGCGAACCAAAACGAAUGCUUAAAUCUUAAUCAGUGUGGGAAAGAACAGGUAAAAAGGAAUACCCACGAGGGAUUUUAGGGAGUCCGUGUGUGAUUUUGUGCUCCUGGGCGGGGUGGAGCUGGAUGAGGUGCGUCUCCUAAUCCGUGUUAUUAAUGUAAAAAAAAAUGAACUAUGCUGCGAAGGAAAUUGCCUAAUUAGCUUCUGCUCAUGAUUGAAAGGGUCUCCUUUAUAAUGGUUUUGUCCAGAAGAUAUUAUAUAUAUAGUAUUUUAUUUUUAUAUAAAAAUAUUAUUAUAUAAUAUUUUAUUUAUAAAUAUAUAAUUAUUCAUUAAUAUCUUUAAAUAUAUAACACUUAUAUAUUAUGUAAUAUGUUUAUUACAAUUUUAAAUAUAUUUAAUAUAUAUAUAGAAGUUAAAACAAUAUUAUAUAUAGUAUAAUAUUAUAUUAAUUGUUAUCUAUUAAUAAUAUAUAUAAUAAAAAUAUAUUAAAUAGUUUUUAUUUUUUUUAACCAAACAACCGUUAUGAAAAAAAAAAAAAAAAAUUCUUACAAAUUAAACACUAAACUAAACGAUGUUAAAUUAUUUUUCCACCAAAACUCUUUUUUCAUCGAAAUUUUUUUUUCUACAAUUUUACGUAGAACCAAACACCCUAAUGUAUCGUUUGGUUCGAGUAUAAGUAAGAACCGGCUAUUAUAGGGAUAACUACAAGUUUAGGUAUAAGCAAAAACUAGACCAACUUUACGUUUGGAUGAAAUUUGGUUGUUCCGAGAAUAAGAAAAAUAACGUUUGAUUAGAUAAAAUGGAAUAAGAAAAAUAGUGGGUAGUUAUAAAUAGAAAAAUGGUGGGUAGUUAUUAUCCCUCUUAUUAUAUUUGAAUUUGAAUUUUUAAACUUUUUAUUUUUAUUUUUAAAAUUUAAAUUUUAACUUUUAAAUUUCAAAAUCUAAAAUUAAACUCUCAACUUUUAAAUUUUAAAAUUUAAAUUUUAAAAUAUAAAUAUCAAAAUUUAAAUUUAAAAAUAUAAAAUAUAAAAUUAAAAUUUAAAAUUUAAAAUUUAAAAUUAUAAACUUGAAUUUUGAAAUUACAAAUUAAAAAAAUUUUAAAUUAUUAAAAAAAAUUUUUUAAAAAAAUAGAGGUGGGAACAGCUUGUUCCCACCACUAUUCCACCUAAGAGCAGGAACAAGCUAUUUCCGCCUUUAGCAGAUUAUCCCCACCCUUAGUAGGUUAUCCUGAUAUAACCUGCUAAGGGCGGGAAUAACUUAUUCCCAUCCUUAGAUAUAGUGUUUGGGGAACAAAACGGAAUAACCCCUUAUCUCCAUCCUUAUUUUUCAACCAAACAAGGCUUCACGUAGGGGGGAGAGAAAAUUUGCUUAUUAUACCGGGGAUAUUGGUUUGGAAAUUAGUAGGAACUAGUUAUACCGGGGAUAGGUAGAAGUAUGGGUUUUUGUAAGAAUAGGAUAUUUUUUUGUUUGGAUGAAAUUGUGAAUAUAAGCUGGAACUAGAAAAAUUAUGUUUGGAUGGUUAUUGGGAAUAACAGAAAUGAUUUUUUUUUUUUUUUGAGAGAUAGGUAGUACGCUACCGUUUCGUUUAUUUCAUUUAGAAAUAAACUUAACUGAAAAUGUGAAUAAAUUAGGAUUCGAACUUGGGUCUCGAAUACCAACCACCAAGCCCUUUGCCACUUGCUUUAGAGACGGUCAAUGAAAUAGUUGAUGGUUAUAAAUAGAAAAUAAUGAUAUUACCCCUAUAAUUAAAUUUAAAAUUUAAAAUUUUAAACUUAUAAUUUUAAAUUUAAAAUUUAAACUUUUAAAUUUUAAAAUUUAAAAUUAAAAUUAAAAUUUUAAAUAACAAAAUUUAAAUUUAAGACCAAAUUUAAAUUUAAAAUAUAUAAAAUAUCAAAUUUAAAAUUUAAAAUUUAAAAAUUUAUAAUAAAAAAUUUAAAUUUAAAACUUUAAAUUUUACAAUUUUUAAUUUUAAUUUUAAAAUUAUAAAAUUUAAAAUUCUAAAUUUUAAAACAAAACUCUCUCACUCUCUCUCUCUCUCUCUCAUGGGUAGGAACAAAGCUUGUUUCCACCCGGGGUGGGAACUUACCGGGUUGUACCCAGUAAGGUGGGAACAAUAGUUCCCACCAUUGUAUUUUUUUAUUUGGGUAUAAAGGGGGAUAAGCCCCUUAUCUAAGCCCCUUAUCCCCUUUAUACCCGAUUCAAAAUGGGUGUAAAGGUAGAAGAAUCUUUAUUUUCAUCCUAACGUACAAAAGGGAAAUGAGGGUGCCGAGUGUACAGUGGCAUCUCUUAUUGCCGAAUGUCCCAUGUAUGAUAUCCAAACAUAAUAUCUAAUUAAUUCUAAGAGCAAUGCUAGAUUUAUAAUUCGAAAUUGAUUGCAAUUCAACAACCCUUUUAUUGAAAGGCUAUUUUUUUUCACUGAACUUUUUUUUUUUUUUUUUCGCUGGGUAAACAAUAAAAUUACCAAAUUCUAUGCACGCUUGGAUGAAAGGUUAUGGAAUAAUAUUAUAACUCUUUUCCAUUGUAGACUUAGUAUUUUUUUAAUAUUAGUAUACUCAGAAGGUAAGCAUAAGUAUAUUAAAAAUUUAAAAAGAGUGUUCAAACUGUUGAAUAAGAGGCAUGAUAUGUAGAGUGUUCAAAUGCUUGAAUUAUUUUGCAUAUUAUAUAAAAUUACAAGUUACCUCUCAAACUAUCUCAAACCUUUUCGACAAGCAAGAUUUAAAAUUUUAAUUUUAAAUUUUGAAUUGUUAAAUUUAAAAUUUUUAAAAUUUAAAAUUUAAUAUUAUAUUUUAAAUUUUAAAUUUAAGUUUUUAUUUUAAAUUUUAAAUUUUAAAUUUUAAAUUUUAACUUUUAAAUUUUUAAAUUGUAUAUUUAUAUUUUAAAUUAAAAUAUUAAAUUUUAUUUUUUAUUUAGAUUUUAUAUUAAAAAUUAAAAUUAAAAUUAAAGUUAAAAUGUAAAAUUAUUUCAAAAUAAAUUUUAAUUAAAAAUUAUUAUUUUUAACAGUAAAAAAAAUUACUAAAUAUGAUCGAGGGCUAUUUUGAAAGAGAUUAUAUUUUAUUAUCAGAAUUAUUAAAUUUUAUAAAAUGAAUCAAAUGUUGGCUUAAACGGGCCAGCAUCCUGCCCUGUGGCGGGAGGCCAUGUGGGCCAAGUCACGUUCGAAAUGGCGUGAGGUUGGGUCGGGUCGAGUCAUGUUCGAAGUGGCGGGAGGCUUGGUGGGCCGAGUCAAAUCGAAAACCGUGAGCGCAGUAUCUGUACGCUUUAAGUGAAUUGGUUGCUUAUUUCUAGCAAUUCGAGUUUUUGUGAUUAAUGGUUAGCGCCAGCGAUCCGACAUCGAACAUAGAAAUUUUAUAUGCACUAUAAUUCAACAUUAUAUUACUGUAUUAAAUUAAAAAUUUUAAAUAUCUAAUUUAGUCGAAAUAAUUUAUAAUAUUAUAUUAGUGCGAACCAAAGGCAUGCUUAAUGAGUGUGAGAAAGAGGAGGUAAAAAAGAAUACCCUCGAGGGAUUUUAGUGAGUCCGUGUGUGCGUGAUUAUGUGCUCCAGGGUGGGGUGGAGCUGGAUGAGGCGGGUCUCCUACUCCGUAAUGUAAAAAUGAACUCCGCUGUGAAGGAAAUUGCUUAAUUAGCUUCUGCUCAUGAUUGAAAGGGUCCCCUCUAUAAUGGUUUUGUCCGGAAAGAUAAAAGUAAAGUAAUAGUAAUAUAGAUCAAAUGCAUUCACGUCACGCUAGAUCGGAUUUUGCUCAUUCCACGUGCUUAACGUUGUUGGAUAUUAUUGAAGGUUUAGGGGCAUUUCCGGUAUAUCAACCGAAAACUUGUUUGUCGGGUUCGAGAGACGCGUCGGUGUCGCUGCGAAAGUGACCGAGCCCGAGCCGCCUCGCUCCGCGACCGUGAUGUGGGGCGCAGUACGGAGCUCAUAUGGUCCAAAGCCAACGUUCUCAUCCCCUAUUCGGGUGGGACAAUCACCUCCAUGUGCCACGUUCUCAGCCGUUAAUCCAUAUUCUGGUGGGACCCUGAUGUUUGAUUGGUAUUAUCAUGUUAAAACAACAAAAAAAAAUUUUCAAAUGGCUCUAUACUUUCUCACUUUCUCACUUUAGUACUCUACAAUUUAAAAUAUAUCAAUUUAGUAUCAUAUGGUUUCAUUUUUAUUUUUUUAUUAUCAAUUUUACUAAUUCUUUUGUUAAGUCAAUGAUAAAAUUAAAACUAAAUAAUACUAAAGUGAAUAUUCGAUAAAUCUAGAUGGGAUAUCUGAAAUUUUUUUAUAUAUAAUUUAACGAAAUAUUAACUGAGAAGCUGACGAAAAGAUAAAAAUGAAACCACAUAAUACUAACUUGAUAAUUUUGAACCACAGGAUAGUAAAGUGAGACAGUAAGAAACCACAGAGAUGGUAUUUAAAGUUUACCCAAACUACAAAUAAUUUUUUCAACAUUAUAAAUAUUUAAUUCAUCUAAUUAAUAAUUUGAUUGAUAAUAUAAUAUUACAAAUAGUGUAAGAUUAUUCUGAAAAUAUUACCGAGCGAGAGUGAGUAUCUCUAAUUAAUAAUGAAUGAUAAUUUUGAAUGUUAUGUAAAAUUAUAAUUUUAUCCAUCUAACUCUCUCCAAAUUCUUUCAAUAUGUUAUUUUAUCGCAUGAGCCCUUAGAAGUGAGUUUCUAAAUUAAAAUUUAUUUAUUCUUAAAUGAUCGUAUGAUUAUUAAAUAGAUUAUAUUUUAGUAAAAAUAUAUUAAAUAUAACCAUAAGGACAAUUUUGAAAUAGAUUAUAUUUUACUGUCAAAAUUAUUAAAUUUUAUAAAUUGAGCAAAGCAUAUAUAGUAAUUCUAUAUAUACUAUAAUCCAGCAUUGUAUUAUUCUGUUAGAUCAAAUAUAAUAAGGCAAUAUAAGUAGUAGCCUGAUUCAGAAAUUUUUAAUAUCUAAUUAUGUCGAAAUAAUCUAUAAUACCACAGAAGUCGAAGCAAACGAGCCCUAAAAGUAUACUUCUUAUUUCCUCAAUAAUGCAGUACUAACAUUACUACAACUAUGCAGGGACGGAGCUAUUGAGGGGCCCACAGUAGUCAUGAUCCCCCCUAAAUUUUUUAAAAUUAUAUAAGAGUCCUUUAUAAUAAAAAUUAAAAUAUUAUAAAUUUUAAUUUUAGGGGGCCAAAUUAAUUUUUUUAACAAAAUUUGUGUCUCAAUUUUUUUUCGAAUUUUUUGGUCAUUUUCCUUCAAUUCUUACAGUCUUAUUCCUUUUUGAGCAUAUUGUCGUUAUCAUUAAAUCUGACAAAUUUUUUUCUUCCUAUCCGAGAUCGAAUUUUUUUCCUAUCAAAUCUAAAUUUUGGUCCCCCCGAAUUUUAAUUUCUGGCUUCGUCCCUGCAACUAUGGUUAUUUAAAAAUGGUAAAAUUUAAUUACCAAGAAUCAACACAAGAUAUCGAGUAGAGAUUAGCCAAUCACAUCAGUGUCUGCUUCAAACCAUAACAUUUGCUCGCAAAUAAAACGGUACAACACAAACUAAUCUCCAAGGCAUCACUAAAUUGCGUUCCACAAACUUCAGGAAGCAAACAAGUGCUCAUAUGUUUCACCCAACUAGAUUUUUCAUGCAACUAGAUUUUAGGGAAAACUUCAUAGAACCCUCCUUGUGGUUUCACUCUUUCUCACUUUAGUACUCUGCGGUUUAAAGUGUAUUAAGUUAGUAUACUGUGGUUUCGCACUUUCUUACUUUAGUACCCUGUGGUUUAAAGUGUAUCAAGUUAGUACCUUAUAGUUCUGCAGUUUCUCACUUUAGUUCCUUGUGGUUUGAUAUUUCAUUAAGAGAAAAAUAAAAUCAUAGGGUACUAACAAGAUAUAAAAAUAAAAUCACAAGUUACUAAUUUGAUACAAAAAUAAAACCACAGAGUACUAACUUGAUACAUUUUAAACCACAGGGUACUAAAGUGAGAAAAUGCGAAACCAUAGGGUACUAACUUUAUACACUUUAAACCAUAAGGUACUAAAAUAAAAAAGUGCAAAACUACAGAUAGAUUUUUGAAGUUUUCUCUAGAUUUUAAUAUAAACAUACGAUGAUUCACAAUCAUUUCCUUGGAUUGUUAGUCAUAUUGUUGUCUCACCUGCACCUCGCUCUCGCUCUUCCAUGCAGAAUGAGUCGAUUGUCCUCUUAUUUGAUGGUCGACCCUUUCUUCUUGUAAGGUUCUUUUACCACUGCAGGAGGGCGAUGUCCGCAAAUUGGGCACACUACGCCACGUGUAUGAGAGUUGGUCUUCGGAACCCCACACUGAAGGUACAUCCUAAGAUAAAAAAGAAUGAUAUAUUUAGGGUGUGCUUGGUUUUACGUAAAACUGUGGAAAAAAAAAUUUCGGUAGAAAAAAAUUUUAAGUUGUUUGUGUUUGGUUUGUAGAAAAAAAAAAAGGUAGUUUUUCAUGACAGUUAUAUAUAUAUAUAACUGUGAUCUAUAUAAUAAAACAUAUAUUAUUAUUAUAAUAAAACAUAUAAUUGUGAUCUAUGUACAUUAUUAUUAUAAUUUUUAUAUAUAGAUUAAAUAUAUUUAAAAUUAUAAUAUAUAUAACUGUGAUCUAUAUAAUAAAACAUAUAUUAUUAUUAUAAUAAAACAUAUAAUUGUGAUCUAUAUAUAUUAUUAUUAUAAUUUUUAUAUAUAGAUUAAAUAUAUUUAAAAUUAUAAUAAAUAUAUAUUAAUAAUAUAUAAGAGUUAGAUAUUUAAAAAUAUUAAUAAAUAAUUAUAAAUUUAUAAAUAAAAUAUUAUAUAAUAAUAUCUUUAUAUAAAAAUAAAAUACUAUAUAUAUAUAUAUAUAUAUAUAAAACCAGAGGGAGGUCCACCGUGGACCUCCCUCUCUGCGGUCCACGAGGCCAAUGGACCGCGCGUGCGCCCGCUGCCCUCUCCCGUGCCCAACGCCGCGAUUCUUCCCUCGUUUUCAUUUUCCGCCCGUUUCGAACGGAAAACGAAAACGAGUAUUUUUCUGAGAAUAUAUAAAAGAACUUUUCCCAAAUUUUUUUUUUACGAGCAAACAAACGUUGGAUUUUUACUUUUCUGUUGAAAAUUUUUUCAGGCCCAUUUUACAGGGAACCAACCAUUUUACAGGGAAUCAAACACCCCCCUAGCCUGGAGAGUGUGAAUGUAUUGCAAUUCCAUCAUGACUAUCCAAACAUUAAAGUUUCUGCUAUAAAAUGAUCAUUUUGCGUCUUCUGCUUUAAAAUGGCUUCCUUGUUUUGGUGUACUUGAAACAGCGUUCAAAAGACCAUUUUAUUGGAAAAGUAAAAUGUUGUUAGAAUAUAGUUCUCUUUUAUUUUUUUGGCUAAGAUACAGAUAACCCCUCCCAAUAUAGUGGAUGAUAUACUUUGCCCUCUAAAAACAAAAAAUAUAUACUAAAUCUCAUUCGAAAGAUAAAAAAUAUCUUAUCAGAUUAUAGUGUUAAAAGUGAAAUGACUAAAUCUACCUUAUUUUUUAUUUUUUUUCCUCCUCAAGAGGGUGAAGUGCAUAUUUUUUAAUCUAAGAGGCUAAGUGCUAACGAUUUAAGUAUUCAGAAGAAUUAAGUACAUAUUUUUUUAAUCCAAGGAGUUAAAUAAAAUAUAUAAUAUAUUGAAGAGGGUUUUGUUAAAUAUAAAAAUAUUUAAAUACCGUUAUCUAAUAGCUUAAGCUUUUAGAGUACAACGGUUGUUUCACAUGGUAUCGGAGCAGGAGGUCCUGAGUUUGAGUCACACCAGGCUCAGAGCAUAUUAAUUCAAACCUAUGUCAUGGGCCGACUAAAAAGUCUCAAGCCCAGACAUGAAGGGGAGUGUUAAAUAUUGAAAUGUUUAAAUAUCAUUCUCUAAUAGCUUAAGCUUUUAGAGUACAAUGGUUGUGUUACAAGUUUCUGUAGAUUAAAAAUAAUUUCUACAUAAUUAAUUUUGGUAAAAAAUUGUAGAAUGUUUAGCUAAGCCUAUGUUAGAAAAUAAUUUUUUGAAAGUAAUUUUGUAAAGCUAUUUGAUAAAAAAUAAAUUUAAAAAUUUAAUUUUAGACUUUAAAAUUUUUAUAUUUGAAACUUAAAAUCUAAAUUUGAAUCUUAAAAUUUAAUUUUUAACAUUUUAAAAUUUUGAAUUUGAAAUCUAAAAUCUAAAUUUAAAAAUUUAAAAUUUUGAAAUUUAAUAUUGAAAACUUAAAAGUUGAGAUUGAAUAGUUUAAACUUUAAAUUUUAAAAUUUAAGUCCGUAGUUAAAUUUAAUAUUUGAAUUAAAAAUUAAAAUUAAAAAUUGAAAUUUGAAUCCAAAAUUAAAAUCAGAUUUUAAGUAGAAAAUUUUAGCUAUUUCUGAUUUUGGGCUUCUAAAAUUGAAAAUUUGAUUCUGAAAAUCGGAGUCAGAUUUGAAAUAGACACUGCCAAAUACUCUGUCGGCUGAAAAAUUACUGUUUGAAAGCUAAACCUAACACCGAUGUAGUGAACAGCAGCAGGCCAAGGCUCGCACGGGCGGUAGAAGAUACGCUGGUGGUGUUAGACCACGUCUUGCUGGCCGACGGCCCGGCCGGCAUUUAAAUGCGGGUCAUGCUGUAACCUUGCACCAGCCUGUAAGCCGAGAUGACACAGCUCAUUUGGGCAGUGCCCAACCAGGAUUUCCUAACAUUUUUCUUUCUUUUUAUUUUAUUUUUUUAAUUUAACGAGUGUAAAGUGUAAACCUAAGUGAAAGUCAUAGUACCCCACAAUAUUAUUCUUAUGUAUAUUAGGGGCAAUUUCAUGCUCUCCUAAAGUUUCGAAAUUUCAUAAAUGCCCUCUAAAUUUUUGAAAUUUCAUGAAUAAUUCUUUAAAUGUCAAAUAUGUUUUAUGAAUGCUCUCUUCUCAAUUUAAUAUCAAUUUUAUGCAUUUUAAAAUAAAAUGUUACCAUUUUAUUCCUACUUUUGAGUAUUCUUUAUUUGAAUAAAGCAGGUAAAGAUAUAAGAAUUAAUUAUAAAUAUGGCUAACUUCAAAUUCCCGAAUAGCCUUUGAAAUAUAUAAUUUCUUGCAAACAUAUUGCCACUAAAAAUUUAUGCAAACCUCCUCAGCUUUGAAUUCUUGUGAUUUAAUACAUGUAACUUUAUUUUUCACUUAUUAAAUUAUAUUAAAUAAAGAUAUUAAAUUUUUAACUAAUAACUUUUUUUGUAAUAUUUGCUAAAUGAGUUAGUUCAAACAUUAUAUUAGCUUAGAUAGCUCACUUCAUGACAUAUGAUUUAUUUGGAUUAGUUUCUGUUUAACCUUUUUUUUUUUUUCACUGUCUUCAUGUUUCAUUAAUUUUUUAGUUUAAUUUUUUUUACAUUAAUUUAGAUUUGAAAGUUUGUUUUAGCUCGGUUUACAAAAACUAUUUUUAAAUUAUAAAACAUUCUUGAAUUUAAAAGGGUAUUUUUAAAACUAUAUUUGAUAUGCGUCUAUUGGAUUGUUUUCAAAAAAGGCAAAAUAGAAAUUCCAUUGCUAUUAAGGUAACUUUUUAUAAAAAAAAUAGUAAGUAGGUUAAUCUUGAAGAUUUCUUAAACAUAGAGGAUCAUCUAUAAAAUUUCAAUUUUUAAAGGGAUAUACAUGUAAUUAGAUGUUUGGAAGGGCAUAUAGUAAAUUUUUUCUAUAUACUAUGGACGUAUAUAUUGUCAAAUUCAUGUGGCAUAUUUCUUUUUCUAAAGGGCUUGUAACCCCUUAGCAUAUAGUCCUCUUCCCCAAGAUGGGCCUCAAGGCCGGGCAGUACCACGGGCCGUGCUGUCGCCCCGGCACGGCCCAGACCCGUAACGAGCCGUGCCGUGCCGAGCCAACGGGCUGAAUUGGGAUGGCCUAGCACGGCCUAUAUUACCAGAUCGGCCUGACCCGACACGAGACCUACAGUACCAAUGUCGUGCCUAGCCCGCCCUGUACUUGUGCCGGGCCGGGCGGCCCACGGGUUGCCCGACACAUUUUACAUCCCUAGUAUAAUACUAGCAAUAUCCUUAUAAUUUUAAUUAAUAAUGAUAAAAGAUUCAAUACAAAUUAAAUAUAUAUAUAAUAUAUGAAAAAAUAAUUAAAUAUAUAAUACUUAAUAAAAAAUAAAAUAAUUAAAUAUUAAUAUAUAAAUAAUAAAAUAAAUAAUAAUAUAUAAAAUUUAAUUAAUUUAUAUUACAUAAUAAGAUUUAAGUAUAAAUAUAUUGUUAUAUUGAUAAUAUUUAUAUUAAUUUAUUUAUUUAUAUAUCUAUUUAUCUAAUAAAAUGAAAAGAAAAGCAAAAUUGUUUUUAGUUUUCCUAGGUUCAAUUUUAACAUGUUGUUUCGAAACAAUCCGUUUGAUCGGAACAACUAGUUCCCCGCAGUUCUCACAUCGUUUGGAUAAAGUUGGAGGAUAUUCUGUAACGCCUCAAUAGUCUCACAUCGAGUAGGAAACUGAUUCUAAUUAGAAUAUAUGAGGUCUCCACGUUAGUAAUAAUAAUUGAAUUUAAGCAUUUUGGGCCGGCGGUGUGGACCCAACGAGUUAUUUUUAGUGGCGGGUCGGGUCGUUGCAAUUAGUAUCUGAGACGAAUACCAUCCAAAAGUGUGAGAGUUAAGUGUUAUGCGGGACAAAACGCUACACCAACGGAUUUGGUGGGAGCCACCUCUUAAAUCUGUAGGAGUCAUAUUUAGAAUCUCAUAUCGUCUGGUAAUUUCAGUUUGCAUCUGUGAUCUGGUUUUGACUCGACGAGGACGUCACAGUCUAAGCAGGGGGAGUUUGUAACGUCCCAACAAUUCCAUAUCGAGUGGAAACUAGAUUCUGAUUAGAAUAUAUAAGGCUUACAUACUACUAAUAAUAACUGGGUUUAAAUAUUUUGGGCCGGUGGUUUGAACCCAACAAGUUAUUUUUGCUGACGGGUCGGGUCGUUGCACAUUCCCCCUUGUUCCGAAAAAGCCCGCAUACCAAAUCUAGCCUUAAGUUAAUUUGUUAUGGUUGUACAUUUGUGGCCUCUUAUACCAGAGUUCAUCUAAUUAAAUUAAGAGAAAAACAAAAUUAUUCUUAAUUUUCCUAGGAACAAUUUUAACGGGUUGUUCUAAAACGACCUGCUUUGACCGGAACAACUAGUUUCACCCAGUUCUCACAUCAUUUGGAUAUAAAUUGGAUGAUAUCCCUCUUUGUUCUGAAAAGUCUUGCUUACCAAAUGCACAGCCUUAAGUUAAUUUCUUGUAGUUGUACAUUUGUGGCAAGUGAUACCAUUGUAAUUUUAUUUGGAUUAUGUUAAAAUAAAUUAUUGGGUAAUAACUUGUUUGAUAUAAAUACUGUUUUGUAAUUAUAAGUUAGCAGUUUGAUUUCUAUUUCAGGUUUUGUUAUUUAUGAGUUAAUACAAUAUCAUAUUUUAUUUAAAAGGUGAUGUAGGCCUUAUUUGUAGGGUUGAAAACGAGCCGAGCUUAAGCGAGCUUAUUUCAGUUCAAACUUGGCUUGAAAUUAAUUUCGAAUAUAAAUUUAGACUCAAGCUCGGCUUGAAAUUAAUUCGAAACGAGCUCGAGCGAGCCUGACUGCUUGAAAUUCUUAAAUUGUACAAUUUACAAUUUAAUUUUUAUAAACAUUAUCUAAAAUUUGAUACAAAAAUAUGUCUUAUAGUUCAACAUACAAAAUAAAUGCAUGAAAUACGGUAUUAUAAUUUUUAAAAAAUAAUUAAAAAAACAACUUGGCGAGCAAAUGAAAGAGAAGGGAGAGAGAAUAAUUAGAGUAAAAUUUUGCUGAUUUAAUUUUAUGAGCCAAUAAAUAUGCUUAAUAACUUAAACUCUAGAUACAUAUAAUUAAUAUACAUAUUAUAUAUUAUGAGUCCGGCUGAGAUACUAUCGAUAGCACGAAGCAUUUGGUACUAUCAAGUUUUCUCCUGUUAGAUUUACCUUUUUUAUCAUUUUCAUCCAUUCGAUUAUACUAUUCAACUAACUACCCAUUAACCUUAGGGGGUCCACAUCAUUAUAACCACACAUCUUUUAAUCUAAGAGCAAUCAUUCUAACCGCACAUUUUUUAAUUCAAGGAUAGAAAACUUAAUAUGACUUGAUGCUAUUAAUAGUAUUUCAGCCUAGUUUUUAUAUUAUUAAUAUAUAAUUAUAUUUAUAUUUGUAUAUAUACUAGCUGUAUAUAUAUACUAUAAACGAGCGUAAUAAAUAUUUUAAUAAUUAUCUAAAAUGAUAUAAAUUUAUACAUUAUAUUUAUUUAAAUAUUUAUAAUAUAAAAUUUAAAUUUAAAAAAUAAAUUAAAUUAUUUAUAUUAUUAAAAAAUAUUUAUCAUAUU